rnacentral:lncRNA from 1 species
UUUUUUUUUUUUUUUUCUUUUGUGAAGGACAAGUCGCUGAAGCCUUCGAACUAAAAAUGCAGGGGAUUUACAAGGGCCCAUGCAAAGAUGACCAGGCAACUCCGUAUCUAGCGGUGCUCAUCGUCGGCUAUGGAUCCGAAAACGGCCAGGACUACUGGAUCAUCAAAAACUCGGCGGGGACAAGCUGGGGAGAGCAAGGCUACAUGAGGCUGCAGCGUGGAAACCAUGGCCUUCCACUGGGUCGAUGUGGAGUGAAUGGCUUCGUCUACUUUCCCGUCAAACAGAAGCCACCGCCAUCUCCACCACCGCCAUCUCCGCCGCCACCCUCUCCUCGACCGCCACCGUCGCCCCCGGUUCCGUGCAGUAAAAGGAUUAGCUGCAGGUCGCUGAUUCCAACCUUUGCGUGCUGCCCUCCCAGGGCCAGACCCUGCUGCUGCCCCUGGUGGAAAAGAUGUGGUGAGUAUGGAUGCUCUCUUUAAACACUUACGUGUAUAAGAGCACAAGAGACAUUUCAGCAUCUUAAAUAUCGAGCCUUUCCUUCAAAAGGUCUGGUGGCAUGACUUCUCUUAUGUCAUGGCUCCUUCAGACUUCAAAUCGGCAAAAUAGGCUUCGGGUUAUCUUUUUCUAAGAGUUUGCUGUGUUCAAGCUUAGAUGCCACACCCGCAUUGGAAGGUAAGCCAACUUGGAGAUCAUUCAGCAGCCCACAGCUACAACCAGUUCUGGAGAUCCAUUGUACGUGAAGGAGACUUGCAUGUCCGCGUCACACGGUGUCCCAAAGCAAAGUUGAUAUGUAUUUUAAUUCUGGCACGCACCAAUGUAGCGGAUAUGGUCUUGAUUAGCUUUGCAACUGGUGGUUCUACUGGAUCUUUCUGGGCAGUCAUGCGGCACUCAAACCCGAUAACUUAGCUGAGAACUUGGACAGCCAAGUUGAUCCUCUCGACAACACCAACACCCUCGUAUUUUUCCACAAUUGCGGGAUGCCGCUCAAGCUACUCCUGUCUUGAUGCACAGAUAAGAUCAAGAGGAAAAGAAAGAACACUUCGUGCCGACGUUGCCAUCGCCAUUGCUGUGGGGACUCGUGUGUUCUUGUCAAUAAAAAGAGCCUUGGUUUAGUAGACUUGACCUGGUUAGACUGUUUUGACACGGGAUCUCGCCACUGUAGAGUUCGCGAUUAAAUAUCUUAAAUGUAAAAGUUCCAAAGCAGGAAAAAAAGAGGAAAAAAUGUGUUCUUAAAACUUUCAUGGCUGCAAGACUUUGGCAGACGACUUUCCUAGAAGUUGAAACACUGCGGAUUUCGACGGCAGGGCGGGGAUUGCUCCCCUCUCCGUAGUUGCGAUCGCACCGCAAGCAUUUGCAAAGAGGAGAGCUUCUCUCAGCCUCGGUUCGUCCUGACACAAAAACAUUUGAUUCAUUCUCCAUUUCUAGGAACGCAACGAAUCUUACCUUGUACAAGGAUGGCUCUUUUACGAGCUGAGUUAAGGCUCCAGCGACGAACGCAUCACCUGCGCCUGUUGUGUCGACGGCGUCGACUUUGAUACCGUCCACACGACCAAGAAACUCCUGUAACAGUAAGCGAACAUGAAAACCAAGGAAAGACAAGGCUAAACAAAAGAAAAACUGGAACCUUUGUGUAAUAGCGGCAGCCGCCUUCGCCUUCGGUCACUAGCAAGAGCUUCAAGUUUGGAUGCAUGAGAGCUUGAGCUGCUUCAUCGCUGUAAGGGUCACCUCCUUCAGUUAGAAAUGUGAUCUCCUCCUCACUUAUCUUCAAAUUUUAAAGCCACCGAGCAAACUUAGAAACUUGGAAACUUCGACCUUUGAAAAAUAAAAGAACUCAUUCACACAAACCUUGAUGAUAUCGGCUUCGUUCCAAAUGCUUUUGAUGCCUGUGCGAGCAGCCUCUGCCGAACUCCACAACGGAAGUCUUAAGUUGGGGUCAUACGAGAGGACCGCUCCAGCUUCUCUGGCGAUUUUCAUCGCGGCCAAGUGAGCGGAUCUGCAAGGCUCCGCGAUGAGACUGAUAGAGCCGUAGUGAAAAAUGGACGCCUGGAAGUUAUCAAGCCAAGUAAGAACGCAAGUGAUGUGAAGUAAUACUUUUGAUACCUGCUUGAUAAGGUCAGCGUCAAGCUCCUCAGGCUUAAGUAACAUAUCCGCGCUAGGAUUGCGGUAAAACAUAAACUCGCGCUCGCCAUCCUUGCGGAGAGUCACAAACGCGAGAGCCGUGCGAGCACCGGGAUCAAAACGCAUGCCUUUGCUUUCCACCUUGUUCUCUUUGAGAAUGUCCACGAGCAUGAAACCAAAUUCAUCCUCUCCAACCUGGUAAAAGCAAAGUGGUGGAGAACCAAAAAACUUAGAAAAUUUUGUUUGAAAGCUGGAAAAGGUGAUCAUAGAUUAGAUUGUCACCUUACCGAUGAAAGCAGAGUUUCCAUCCAGCCGAGAGAUACCAACAGCAACAUUGGCUGGAGCUCCUCCAGGAGCUUUCUUAAACGCUGGAGCAUCAGCCAAAGAAACUUCCCCUACUGUUGGAACGAAGUCUAUAAGCAUCUCUCCAAAACACACCACUAGAUUGGAGCUGGGAUCUCUCACGGAAUCCACCGCUCUAGCAGAUCCUACACAGUGAAGCGUCCAUCAAGCCAGGAGAAGAAAAAGGUAGAACAGAGCUCCAGUACCUGAUUUUGACGAUGAGAGACAAUUGGAGCUCGAGCUACUUCUCCUCAGAUUCAAGCACUGCGGUCUAUCCCCAAACAGGAAGCUCUGCCGCGGCAAUCCCGUCGAAAGCUGCGAGAUCUGAGAAGCAGGAGACGCGGCCAUCUGUCGCGAUCUAGGAUCUACCUUUUAGAUCAAGGCGAUCGGCUGAGCGAGUAAAAUCGAUGGAAAUGCGGCGCUGCGCUCUACUUACCCUACUGCAGAUCGAUCGAGCGAAGAGAGUGGGGCACCGCGACACUACUCUUUAGAAACCCUGGCCAACGAACCAAAAGCGCGACACCUGGCACGAAUGAGACGCCGACGAGGAAAAUAUGGCAUAUAAAGGUAUCACGUUUAUAACCAGGGUUUUGCGGGUUUAGGGUUCUAGGCAUGGAGAAGAAGAGGAAGAAGGAGAAGGACGGCGCGACGACAUCUCGACCGCCGCGCAUUCCCGAUUCCGCAGCGUACAAGGCGCUGGAGGAUCUCGUCUCGCCUCACAUCGAUUCCUUCGACUACUUCGUGCAGCGGGGACUGGUGGAAGCAGUGAAGGGGAUCGCGCCGGUGGAGAUCGAGCAGGGUUCGACUGGGAAUAAGCUGAUUUAUAUCCUUUGGAUGAGUAUAGGCGCAUUGCCUUGCACUGCUAGAUGGAUUUCAUUCUGGAGAUUUUGGAUUUUCCCUUGACGUUGUUUUGGCACUGACGCUCGACAAGCCUGUUGUGCAACCGCCCGUGAAGGAUCUCAAGGAGAAGGCAAUGGAGCAUCGUCUUCUUCCAAAGGAGGUGUGAGCAGUAUUUUUUUCUUUGAUUCUUCUUCCUUAUAGUUUAUUUUAUCGUAGUGCCGGCAAGGGUUCUUGAGCUACACCGGCGCGCUCAAUAUCCAGCUUAUCUUGGAUUACGGUUCAAUGACUAGAUACCAUCAACUUUCGCUUGGAAAGCUGCCUAUAAUGUUGAAGGUAUUUGGUUUCUGCUCUCAUUUUCUUCCUUAAAUUUGAGUAAAUUCCUGUAGUCGAGCCUUUGCCAUUUGAGAGGCUUGUCGCCACAAAAGCUUAUUUCUUUGAAAGAGGAGGGCACGGAGAUGGGAGGGUAUGGUCUCUACCUUCAACCUUUCCUGAUAGUAACUCAGCUACUUGUAUGUAGGUACUUCAUUGUGAAAGGAAUUGAAAGAAUCAUACGAAAGCUCAUUGUACCGAAACGAAAUCAUGUAUGGUCGCAUAGAAAAUAUCAUGGCGCUUGAACUUUGGGAUGUGUUUGAACAGAUAAUUGCUAUAAGGAGAAAUGCGUUUCAAAACAGAGGAGCAGGAUUCUCUGACAUCGGGUUGAUGAUGAGGUAUACAUAGGCGGUUUUAUGGGCCCUUUUGUUACUGUGUUUGUUCAGAUGUGUGAGACCAGACCAAACAGGGUCAACUAUCAAACUUUACUACCUGCAUCAUGGCACGGCUAGGCUUGGUUUUGUGUAAGUCACAACAUUGUUAUUGCUUGUUACGACAGCAAAUGUUUUCAGGAUUCGGAGGCAGGAGUUUGUGAUUCCGGUCGGAAUAAUUUUGAAGGUGCUGCUACGUUACCUGCAUCUUUUGUUUACUGACUGUCCUUGCAGGCGUUCAUGGACACAAGUGACCGAGAAAUUUUCGAGCAGCUGAGUGGCAUCCACGUCCAAGGGCAAGAGCAGUCCAAAGGUGCAGUUGGAAGCCAGCUUAUAAGUCAAAGAGCAAGAAUCAUUAUUGAAGAGACGCAACGUCAACCUUGCCUUACACGUUUGGAUUGCCUUCGCUAUAUUGGUAAGCCUGAUGGAAAUACUUUUUUUUUUGUUUUGUUUUUAUCUUUUAUAUGCGAACUGUAAACCAGGCGAAACAUUUCGGACUCCUUUGGAGGCGCUGUCUAGUAUGUCCAACGCCGAGGUAAGACUAGCGUUAUUUCAUAAGUGUUUGACUCGUCUUCGCAUCCUCAGGUCGGAGAGGAUGUUCUGAGGAGAUUUGUCUUUGUACAUUUGGACAAUUUCCGUGAUAAGUUUAACUUGCUCAUGUAAGUUGAUUGGUGUGUUUUCUUGGUCUAAUUGUGUUUUUUAGCUCAGUCAUAUGCUGCACAAGCUUUUUGCGGUUGUGGAUGGGUCGGCCUCGAUUGAUAGUUCCGAUACUUUACAACAUCAGGAGCUCUUACUACCCGGACAUCUGAUGAAUAUCUAUUUGAAGGUAAACAUUACAAAUAAUGUUCUGCUUUGGUUACAAAUAUGUAUUUCAGGAUAGACUAGAAGACUGGCUUUACAGGUGCAAGAGGUUGUUGCAAAGGGAAAUGCAACUCAAGGAAGAGUUCGACUUAAGCGACCGUAUGAUUUGCGUUUUCAUUUUCUGAUGGCGGCCAAACUUCUCUUUUCAGAUGCAAAGGUUUUAAAAAUUGUGGAGAAAAAUAAUGCUGUGGAUAUAGGCAAACGGAUUGAAUAUUUAUUAAGCACUGGAAAUAUUCAAUCCCAGUCGCAUAUGGACCUUCAGCAGGUUGAGUACAACGUGUUUCUUUGUGGUGCUCAUUUUCUCAUCUUUAGGCAAAUGGUUUUAGCGUGGUAGCCGAAAAGCUGAAUUUUUUCAGAUUCAUAUCUCAUUUUCGUUCCGUCCAUAGGGGAGCUUUUUUUGCAAGACAGAGAACUACAUCCGUGCGCAAGCUACUACCAGAGUAAGGACACUGAUUCUACUCCAGUCCCUUUAACUUUAUGGAUGUGUAGAUCGUGGGGAUUUCUUUGCCCCGUUCACACUCCCGAUGGUGAACCUUGUGGGUUGCUCACUCAUUUAAGCUCAUUGUGCAGUAAGCUUUUUAUUUUGCUCAAUGUCACGGGAACUAACUCGGUUUUCUGUUGUUCAGAAAUUUCCACUGACCUCGAUCAAAAUAAUCAUCCCAAGGACCCCAAGGUUAUUCAUCGAACUAUUGCUACGGUGUUAGCUCAACUCGGCAUGGUUUCGAUUUCACCUUUAUUGGCGUUGUCAGGCCCUCNNNNNNNNNNNNNNNNNNNNNNNNNNNNNNNNNNNNNNNNNNNNNNNNNNNNNNNNNNNNNNNNNNNNNNNNNNNNNNNNNNNNNNNNNNNNNNNNNNNNUACCUCAAACCGUUUCUCACUUACGAAGUUUGAAAGUGACCAAGGGUUCUCAGGUUGCCACCGUUUUUUACUGCUGUUCUGCUUGAACUAACGUGUUAGUGCAGGUCCCUAUCGAUCUAGAGAUUGGAUAUGUUCCUUGCACGUAUGCUGGAGCUUACCCUGGCUUGUUUCUGUACACGACGCCAUCACGGUUUCUUCGCCCAGUGAAGCAACUUGAUACAGGAGCUAUUGAACUUAUCUCUGCCUUCGAACAGGUUUUAUAAUUUUUUAUAAGCUCACUUUUAAGCUUCUAUGUGCAGGCAUACAUGGAAAUUGCAUGCCCCGACGGAGGAAAUUGCGGUCGAACACCUUCAGCUCCACCAGCAACUCACAUUGAACUGCAUCCGACGGCUAUGUUGAGUGUGGUUGCAAGCUCAACACCUUGGUCGGAUCACAAUCAAAGUCCUCGAAAUAUGUACCAGUGCCAGGUUUAUACGAGCGCUACCGUAAUGUUUAGUUUUUCUAACAGUUUCUACAGAUGGGAAAACAAACGCUAGGCUUUGCUUCACAGGCUUUGAAGUUUAGAACGGAUCACAAAAUGUACAAUCUUCAGGUAAGACUAGAUUUAAGUGUUCUUUGUGUUAGCCAUAUUCUUUGCUUUUCUUGUAGAACCCUCAGUCUCCUGUUGCGCGCAACGUUAAUUACAAAAAGUACAACAUGGACGAAUUUCCACUUGGCACCAACGCUGUUGUUGCAGUGUUAGCGUACACAGGGUAAAGCUAACUGAGAUCCAUUUUAAGGUUUGAAUUUGAGUGGUUUUCAUGUAGUUUUGACAUGGAAGAUGCUAUGAUUAUGAACAAAUCAUCGAUGGAGAGAGGUUUAGCACAUGGACAAAUCUAUAAGGUGCUGUUUGACAGUGAUUUUUGCUUUGUCCUUUGUAAAUUGAUAUGUUUUUUCUUUUUAGACCGAGCAUGUCGAUUUAAGUUUGCUGCAAAAAAAAUCUGAUGGAAUUGUGAACCUCUUUUCAAGACCAACUGGGAAGAGAAAUAUACAUAAUUUUCUUGACGUGGACGGUCUUCCACACAUUGGCCAGGUCUGAUUAAAUCCGCUCGAAAUGCUAUUAAUCGUUUUCUCUGCAGACUAUGCAUAAUGGAGAUCCUUAUUGCAGUGUUUUGAAUACAAUGACUGGUGAUGCGAAGCUACAUAAGCUUAAAGCUGCAGAAAAUGUCGUCAUAGAUUCCGUCAUUGCCAUCGGGCAUGGCAGAGACCCACUUCAAAAGGUCACAAUCUCCUUAUCUCGAUGCAUGCCAAUAAUUGGCUUUCUCUGCAGAUCGCUGUGAAGUUCCGCCAUGAUCGAAACCCGGUUAUUGGUGACAAGUUCAGCAGUCGCCAUGGACAGAAAGGAAUUCUGUCACAGUUGUGGCCAGAUAUCGACAUGCCAUUUUCGGCUGUCACCGGGAUGCGUCCCGAUAUUAUUAUCAAUCCCCACGCAUUCCCGUCUCGUAUGACGAUCGGUAUGCUUAUGGAGUCUAUGGCUGCCAAGGUACUAGCGAACUAGCGAUGUGCUCCUUAUGCUUCAUGCCUAUUUUAGGCCGGCGUUCUUCGAGGCGAGUACGUGGAUUCGACUCCCUUUAGAAGCAGCUCAGCAGCUUUAGAUGCAAAAGAUGGUAAAACAGGAAGCGGCUACAAGGGUAAAGAUAAGCAUUAUCCCGCGAUUAGUGAGUUUGGGGAGCAGCUGGCACAGCACGGUUUCAAUUACCAUGGCACCGAGGUUAUGUACAGCGGUUUGCUAGGAACGGAACUCACCUGUGAGAUCUUCAUCGGUGUUGUGUAUUAUCAGCGACUGCGACAUAUGGUUUCGGACAAGUUUCAGGUAACUCAACUCGGAGAACUGAAAAUCGGAUUAAUGUGGUCUUUAUCCCAGGUCCGCUCGCUCGGUGCUAUCAAUCCCGUCACUAGACAGCCAGUAGGUGGUCGCAAGCUCGGUGGAGGCAUACGUUUUGGAGAGAUGGAGCGUGACUCGCUACUUGCACACGGUGCAGCGUAUUUACUACACGAUCGAUUGCACACAUCCUCCGACUACCACGUUGGAGACGUGUGCACCACUUGCGGGAGUCUGCUGUCAACUCUGAUGGUACCCUCAAAGCAGCCCGCCGUCGGUGCUCGGAACAAACCCAAGAAGGCUACCUGCAAAGUCUGCCAGUCGAAUGCUGGAGUCGUCAAGGUUGCCAUGCCAUUCGUCUUCCGGUAUCUUGCAGCAGAAUUGGCAGCCAUGAACGUGAAGCUUACCCUCAAAGUUGCUUCAGCGUAAGGAAGGGGUACGUCUAAAUUCUUUUAAGCUGCCUUACAAACGAAGUGAUCUGAGUUAUUGAUAUCAGACCACUGUACUUGGAGCAAAGGAUCUAGCAUGGUUUUUGGUCCUUGAAGGAGCGGACCCAGCCCUUUGCAGAGCAUCUCCAGCUCCACAUACGCUCCCUGCCGUCAUCCGGGCAUCCUCAAGCCUCACUGCAUCUCGAGAAGACAAGCCUUUAUCCAGGCAAGCGCUCCUUCGCUGGCUUGGCUCUUUUUCUUUGCUUGUUUUCCGUCAAUAUAUAUGGCGUUGGAACAAAGAGCCUUCCUUUAGAAGACAAGGCGAAGAAAUGCUAAGAACCGUUUUUCCUUUUUCUUCGAAAAAAUAUGCAGUGUCUCGAAUGGAAUUAUCUGGAAGAGGUAUGUAUUUUUCUUUUCCGUUUUUAUUUGACAGUGAUUUGCUCUUCCAAGUUACAGUGUCGACAAUCGAUAGUUCACUGUUACGAAAAAUCGAGGUUUGAUACAUGGGUACGUUUUAAAAAAUGUCAAGGUGAAAGGUACUGAUCAAUGUUUGCUAUCUGUAACUCUACAGAGGUUUUACUAGGGUUUUCCUGAGUUUGGGUCUUCGGUGGGACGAGGUAUGACAGUGCUUGAAUGCUGCAGCGGAAGUUCAAGAGCUUCCGAGGCCCAGCUGAUAUCUUAAAAGCCAUCGUACAGUCACUCCACCGGGUGAAACCAAGCGUUCCCGUUCUUCUUUCAGCGCUGAAAGCCUCGACGAGCUCGAGCGACAUCGAAAACGGAAGGAGAGUUCACGCAGAUGCAGUUAAAUACGGGAAGGACUCCGACAUUUUCGUGGCCAGUAGCCUCGUCAACAUGUACGCAAAGUGUGGGAAUGUGGCGGAGGCUCGAGAGAUCUUCGACGCCAUGGAGUCCCGGAAUGCGGUGUCCUGGACUUCAUUGAUCUUGGGCUAUGCCGACAACGGAGAAUACGAGACCGGGUUGGAGCUGUUUCGACGCAUGCAACACGAGAGCUCUCAGCAAGCGGAUGCUCAGACUUUUGUGGCCGCUCUCAAGGCGUGCACGGGCUCCGCAGCGAAAAAAAAGCCUCUGGAAGUUGGCGGCAGGCGUGUCAAGCUGGGGACUCUCGAGCAAGGCAUGGCGAUUCACUCGCAGGCCUCGAGAAGUGGCUGCGAAGACGUGUUUGUUUCGAGCAUCCUGGUGGACAUGUAUGCGAACUGCGGCAGCAUGCUUGAUGCUCGGCUCAUCUUCGACAGGAUGCCUUCUCACGACGUGGUGGUGUGGAACGCAUUGCUUCUGGGAUACGCAGAGAAUGGAGAGCCACAGGUGACGCUGGAGUUAUUCACUCGGUUGAGAGGAGGAGAUCGAGGCUGCGGUCCAAACGCUCGAACUUUCGUCGCUGCGUUUCAAGCCUGCGGCAGUAUAGCGGAUCAAAGUGGCGACAAGAUGGUGGCGCUGGAGGAGGGGAUGGGUCUUCACUCCCAGGCGGCUCGGUUUCAGCACUGCGUGACGGAUAUAUUCGUGAACAACACUCUCGUCGACCUGUACGCAAGGUGUGGGAGCUUGCUGGACUCCCGCAGAGUUUUCGAUCGCAUGCGCUGCCACAAUGUGGUGUCCUGGAACGCGCUGAUGCUGGGACACGCCGACAAUGGUGAAGAGGAGCUGGCCUUGGAUCUCUUCGAGCGUUUGCGCGAACAAAGCUUAGCACCGGACUCCCGGAGCUUCGUUGCCGCGUUGAGAGCUUGCAGUGGUCUUGCCGAGAAAGAAAGCUCGCGGCAAGUGGACACGAACUCGAUCAUCAAGGCCGAGGCCCUCGAGAGGGGAACGCGGGUGCAUGGAGAAGCCAGAGAUGCCGGGCUUGACACGGACAUCUACGUGACGAACGCUCUCCUGGACGUCUACGCCAAGUGUGGAAGCUUGGGCGACGCUCGCAGAGUCUUCGACGCCAUGCAGCAGCGUGAUGCUGUCUCGUGGACAGUUCUGAUGCUCGCCUACGCGGAGAACGGCGAUGGUCAUCUGGCUCUGGAGCUGCACGAGCAAAUGCAGCGGCAGGGCUGCGUCCGGGACGCCCGGAGCUUCGUCGCUGCGCUGAAGGCCUGCGCCAGCAUCGCAGAGAAGGAACAGGGACAGGGAGUUGGCAACAGGUUGGUGAAAGUGAAGUCCCUGGAGCUGGGAAUGGCGCUCCACUCGCAGGCGGCGGGAGUAAGCAGCUGCAACUCGGACGUGUUCCUCGCGAACACCUUGGUGGAUCUCUACUCGAGGUGCGGGAGCGUCCUGGACGCUCGCAGGGCCUUUGACGCGAUGGAGCGGCACAGCACAGCGUCCUGGAACGCUCUCGUGCUGGGCCUCGCGGAGAAUGGAGAGGACGAGCUCGCGCUGGACCUCUUCCGCUGCAUGGGAGGAGCCGUGGAGCCGGACUCGCGGAGCUUCAUUGCAGCGCUCCGUGGGGUGGCUAAUCUCGCCGAGAGAGAGCGAGGCAAACAGGCCGAGACGGGGCUUGUCAAGGUGGAGUCACUGCGCAGAGUCAUGGAAAUCGAAGCUACGAGCAAGCUGGGCGAUAUUACAGCACUAGACGCGUUCCUUGCGAGCGCGCUGGUGGACUCGUACGCAAAUUGUGGGAGCCUCGAGGACGCAAGAAGGGUGGCGAGCAAGAUGGAGCCUCGUCACAGCAUCGCGGCUCUCAACGCGCUGGUGUCCGGCUACGCGGAGAAUGGCGAGUCCCGGCUAGCAGUGGAGCUCUACCGAUGGAUGCGGGAGAGCUACCCGGAGCUCCUGGACGCGCGGACGAUGCUCGCGGGGCUCAAGGCCUGCGGAAGCUUGGCCGCGCUAGAGACCGUCCGGGAGAUCCACGCGGAAAUCUCCAGAGCCGGCGUGCUUUCAUCAUCGUCUUCUUCGUCCUCUCGAUCACCCAGCAGCAGCAGCGAUGGAGGAGCCCUGGCUACGUCGCUGAUCGACGCCUACGGCAGAUGUGGAAGCGUGCUCGAGGCCCAACGGCUGUUCGACGCGAUGAGCCCAUCGCCGGACACCGCGACUUGGAACUCGCUGAUGGCCGGCUACAGCCACCAUGGCGACACGAAGCGAGCUCUGGCGCUGCUCGAGGCCAUGGAGCGCGAGGGUGCGAGCGUGGACGGCAUCACGCUCGUGUCGGUGCUGAGCGCUUGCAGCCAUGCCGGGGCGGUGGAGGUGGCGCGGGGGCUGCUGGAGGGGAUGGCGUCGAGGUUUGGGGUGGAGGCUGGGGUGGAACACUACCACUGCGUGGUGGACGCUCUGGGCAGGGCCAACAGGGUGGAGGAGGCGGCGAGGCUGGCGAGGAGCAUGCCAUUCGAGGCGAGCGCCGUGACUUGGAGGACCGUGCUGGGGGCGUGCCACAAGUGGGAGAACACAAGCGUGGGAGAGGCCGCGUUUGAAUCCCUCCAGGGCUGUUUAUCGUGGUCAUUCUAAAUAAUUUUUGAUCCGACACUAUGGAUUGCGCUUGAUCUGUGUAAUCCCUUCUCUGGGCUAAUUAUUUGGGAUGAAUAUUUGGGAUGAUAAGCGGCAUGGAAACAUCACAGAAGAUCCAAUGGUGGGCUGGGAGUUUCUGGCAGGAGUUCGCCCUCCGUAAUUACCAGGCAUCAUCUCUAGAGGUCCGAAGGGCCUGCAGUCUCCUGAGUAAACCAACCAAUUGAGCAACUGUAGAUAGACUGAAUCCCACUUGAAAAUCAAGUAGAGAAGGGUUCCAAAGAUAGAUUUUUCCCUUUAUUUGCUUGCAUUUCUUCGUAAGUUGUAAACUAAAGUCAACUACAACAUGUCAAUUUUAAUCCCCUAGUAAUAACAUAUCCUCCAUUUAACAACUCAUUAAUUUUCUUUGUCAGUUGUGAACAGAAGUAUCCCUUAGCCAAGAUCUCAACACUAGUAUUGCCCAGCAAAUAUUAACAGAAUCUAGAAUUAAUUUUUUUUCUUGUUAAUUAGUUUUUACUAUUUAAAUUUAUAUAAAAGAAACCUUGAAAGAUAUUUGCUAUUCAAUUGAAUGGAACAUAAAAAAUACAAAAGCUAAAAAGGUUGUAUUUUAAUUGGUGAGGUUGCUACAAAGGAGGAGUAUCUACUUUACCAUAAAGAUAAACAAAAAGAAGAAAAACAAAAAGGAAGAAAUGAAAAAACUAUAAAAACAAGAGGGAUUUAGAUAAUGCAAAAGUUAGAUUUAAAAUAAAACCACAAAUUUAUCAAGGAUAAUCAAUUGAGUGCAUGAAAUAUAGAAAUUGAUUAACCAAAAACCUUAAUUUAUAUAAAGGAGUGAGUAAUUUGAAUUGAAAUCAAUCAGACAGCUAUCAAAAACCCACUAUGCUAAUAAUAAUAUAUGGCAUUAUAACUUGAUCUCACACUUUGAAUAUGAUUAUUAAACAUUUUUUCAUUUUUUAAAUAUUUGCUAGCUAUGAAAAUAAAAACAUGAAUGCUAUAAUACUAUCAUAUAUUGACUUGUAUUAAUAUUUAAUAUAACAGGCUCUCUUAAGAAACAAAUAGUUAAAAAUUACAAUAUAAUAAUCAAGAAGAAGCAAAUUAGGAACCCUUGAUCUUCUAAUUAAACAUCUUCUUCUGGACUUAAUAAAUUUGUUUUGCAUAUAUUAUUUUUUAUUUUGAGUUAUGAAGAUAUUUUUAUUUUUAUUACAAAAUUCUUAAUAUAAUAUAAUAGAUAUUUAUGAAUGAAUUUUAAAAAUACAUCUAUUUUGCAAAUCUCCUUCGUCAAUUACAGUGGUUUUAAACACUCAAUAUAGAGAGCUUCAAACACAUUAUAUUCUUUGGUCUAAGACUCUAUUACAAAACCAAGGUUUCAAUAUUAUUUAAAAGAGGUUCAAACUAUAAUACUGACACUCCUUAAGAAAUUAAAUUAAAUUGGUUUUGAACUUUCACAAAUUUUUCAUCAUCAUAGAUGUGUUCUUAUGAAUUAACAACCUACAUUAAUUAACCUACUAUUAUCAUCAUAAAUUAUUUAUAUAAAUGAAAAAUAUGUAUAAAAAAUAUUAAAUAUACUAGAUUAAUGUUUCUAUUUUUUAUUUAAAAAUAAUAAUAAUUUUAAGAAUAUUGUCAAUAAUUUUAUAAUAAACAAAAAUUAGAAUAAUUUUGUUUUAGUUAAAAUUUUCUCUAUUUUGUUUUAUUCUUAAAAUUCAAGAUUUGGAGUCUAAUAUAAACGGCUUCAGCUAUUAUUUUUAUUUGUAUGUAUAAUAAAUUUAUUUAACUGUAGUUUCUAGCUCUAUCUAAAAUGAAUGUUAUAAAUAUUAAAAUCUUAAAAUUAUUAAUUUUUUUAUAUUUCACAUAUACUUUUUCAUAUGCUGGAAGAUCCACAUCAUACGAACCUAGAAGAAAUAAUUUUAUAACACUAGCUGAUUUAAUACAUUUAGUUGAUACUAUUAUUAAUAUGACUAAUGCAAUGUUUCAUUCAACAGAUAGGUAUGAGACUGGACUGGCAUAUUCUGGAAUAGCUCCACUACUUACUUCAAAUGAAUAUAGAGCUUCAAUUACAUUUGAAGUUCUUAAUAAUGGUCAAGGAACACGUUGUUCUAUAAAUCCAUUAAGAGGUAAUACUGUAAUUGGUGGAAAUUUAAGAGUGGGAUUUAGAAGUAUUCUUUAUGAAGUUUUAAGCUUUUUACGAAGAGAUUGUCCAGGUGAUUUUAGGGGUGCCUCAAAUAAUUAUGUAUUAGAGUAUAAUAUCAACCCAAAUCCAUUUUAUAAUCGUUCAACCAUCAGUACUAAUAGAAAACAAAAGAAAAAUAUAGAUGAUAAUCCAUUUGACGAAAAUGAAUGUUCUAAAUCUGUAGUUUUUACAACAUUAUUUUCAUGGCCAUCACAUAAUAUUCUCUAUUUUGGGAAUUCUUUAUUCUCUCCUAAUAGCUUAAUAAAACUAACAAUGCAAGAAGAUUGUAAUCUUGUUUUAUAUAAAGGGGAUAAUACUCCAUUAUGGGCUUCAAAUACUUGGAGCACAUGGAGAAGAAACUGUAAUCUUUUAUUACAAAUGGAUGGGGAUUUGGCUAUUAUGUUUAAUACCCUUACACUUUGGAGAUCAAGGACAAAUUGUAUAGAGAAUAAUUGUGUAAAACCAUCAGUACUUUCAGUACAAAAUGAUUGUAACAUGGUUUUAUAUAGAAUUCCUACUAUAGUUGUUACUUCAUUAUUUCCAAUAUGGGCUUCCAACUCACAAUGCUAAUUUAUAAAAUAGCAUUUUCUUCUUCAAUAUGCAUACUGGCAAGCCACUUUGAUUGCUCUCCAGUAGUAUCUCCAAGAGGUACUUGAUGAGGACAAAGAGGAGCAUCUCCCUUGAAAAUAGGGCUCCAUGGAUGGAUAGACUCACUUUUAUUAGAUAAGCAAAGUUGUGAUUUCAUUAAAUAAUUGAUUGCAUUAAAAAUGAUUAUAUUAGUAUUUCUUCAUUAGAGAUUGAUGUGACCAGAUAUGCAAAUAUAUGAAUGCCAUAGUGGUGACAUACUUGACCAUGGGGGGCUUGAGUGAAUUGUGAGUAGUGCAUCUAGUUUUGGCAAUAGAGAAUUCUGGAAAAGGAUUUCAAGCCCUUGAAGGCUUCAAAGCUGCCUCCAUUCCAAAGCACAUAAGGUAAGCUAGAAAUUUUCUAAAAUUUUAGAACAAAAACUAAAUAUGGAAUGGAACUCAAUAGAUCAUCUCUAUUGUGGGAGCUAGUUCCAAGCUAUCUAUCCUCUUUGCCAUAGUCUCUCAAUCUCCACCAAGAAUGUGUCACAAGAGACUUUAGAUGCUAUAACUUUAGCCUACUGUUAUAUCAUUUUUAGAUCAAUACAUCUAUUAUGGUUGUGAAUUUAUAGAAGUUGUGCUCAUCCUCUCCUCUCUUGUUGAUGUGAAGUGUGAUUAUCAUGUUAAUUAAAAUAUAGGAACCUUACUCUUGGACACAUGUGCCAAAUCAGACUUGAAUUUCAAGGCCUUGAGUGAGUGAACAAAAGAAUGGAGCAAAACUCCUAAAUAUACAACCAAGGAGCAAAUGAACAAGAUUAAACUCCUGAAUGUAUAACUAAAGAAUGAAAGAACAAGAGUAUGGAGCAACACUAAAAUAGUUUUAGAGUUUUUAGAAUUGCAACACCAAGACUAACAUGUAAAAUAGAGUUUGGGCUUAUACCCAAACUAAGUGCAGAAUAAGAACAUACUUAACAAAGAACUAGACAUUGUGUUACAUUAGUUGGCCAUACCUAUCUACUAUAUUUUUAGAACCCUUUAUAUGAAAGCACAUUUUGGGGUUUCAUCCCAGUCUUAGGAGUUAGUUUUUGCGAUAAAUUUGAAAACUUAUUAAAUAUAGAAUAUUAUUAGAUUAUGAAUCUGGACACAAGAAUAGUUUAAGACAUUUUCUACAUUUCAUUUUAUAAAUAGCUAAUGGAACUAGAAUAAGACUUCACAUAUGGCAAGGUGCCUUGGUUACAAGGUGCACUAUGGCCAAGGUGGCAUGGUAAUCUACAGUGCAACCACAUGUUUUAGGAGGAUUGGGCAUCAUUGACCCAAGUGAAAUGGCAAUGGCAAUGAGGUAUAAGAUCAUCCUUAUGAGCCUUUAGCCAAGUAAGCAACCUUGAGGACUCAUAUUUUGGCAGAGUUUAUUGGUGAUUUACUCCAAGCAUAAUACAACUUAGGUAUAGGAUGCGAACCCAUUAGUGGAAGGACGAACGGCUAAAGGAUAAAAUCUCAUACAAAGCAUUCAUAAGUUGUGGAGAGUGUUCUUGUUAUGACAUGUGGUGCUAAGUCAAGUAGAAGACUAGUUGAACCAACCCCUUUUCUUCAAUUCAUUGUUUAGAGAUGAGGACAAUAUGUUAGGUAGAGAGGUCCAUUGCACAAUCUAGAGGAAACUCCACUCUAGUAGCUUAUGAACCCUAAAGAAUCAGAGACACAUGAAAGAUGGUGAGGCAAUUAUAGAUUUUCAGCCUGUGGAAGAGGCAGAACCUCCAGCUAGACAUUCUAGAGCUUCUUUAUGCAGUGAACAGUAUAAAAGGAGGGUAUGGAUGGCCGAGACAUUGCCUCCAUAAUGUAGAGGGAUUCAAAGUGGGAGGAGUAGGGUAUAAAGCACUUAGACCCAAGUGUUCAUAGCCCCCACUCCAGCUUGGUCAGAAGGAGAUGUGGAGGUAUGGUUUAUUAUUUUGCCAGGGAACAAUCCCUUUCUAGUGGGACACCCUCCUCCCAUUGGGAAAAGCACAAGCGAUGCCAUAGGUCAUGGAUGACAAAGUUAGAGGAAGGAUACAUGUGUUAUAUCAAGCUCUCAAACAACUCAAUAUGGUGGAAUCAAAAGGCCUUCUAGAAGGCAUUAGGCUGUUAAUAUAGUGGCAGCAAUAGCUACUGGAGGAUCUAGACUAAAACCCCACAACAUGGUAAUAAAGGGUGAAUGGCCUCUUUUCAUACAAAGUCAAUGAAGGAUAUAAUGGUUUGCUCAUGUCUAGAGAAGAGGAGAGGGAAGAGAUCCUGAAGUUAUGGUGGAAGUGGAUUGAACAAGGAAUCAAUAUAAAGCAUGUGGUGGACAACAUGGUGGAAUUCUAAAAGCUUUCUAUGCAAGAGAAAAUGAAGAUCAUGUCUUGGUUGGUGGCCAACAAUAGUCUUCCGGUGGGCUAGUGAUUCCAAGAGGAUGCAAGUUGGAGAUGCAAGAAGUGUGGCAAGAUAGAGAUGGUCAUACAUGCACUAUCGAAAUGUGAUAUAGCGAAGCAAGUUUGGCAACAAAUCCUUAAAGCAAGAAAGGAACUUAAAGUCACAUAGGAUUUUGAGGCUUAUAGUAGAGAUGUCUUACACUGGUUUAAGGGGGAUAAAGGCCUUGCUAUAGGUCCAACUUAGAGGUAUAUCAAAUGUAGGAGAUGACAUAGAUGGGGGAUUUAUGUUCACUUGGACACUUCUGGAGAUGUAAACUCUUAAAUAUGGAUUUUUUGGGAAGUCAUCCAGCAUAGUACUAGCAAGUACUAUUUAAACUUAUCCCUAAAUAUCUCAAGACCCUUAAAUAAUUAAAAAAAAAUGCACUUUUGUUUUGUAAGCAACCAAAAGGAACGACUUGAGAGACGAUCCAUGGGGUUCAAAUAUAGAGGGAAAGGGCCCAUGAACAAGAGUGCACCCCCUUUUCCAAUCAGUUAAGGGUUUUGGCAUAUUUGGGGUUAAGCGUCCUUGGGUUUGAAUAGUAUUGGGCUGGGUGACCUCCCGGGAAGUCCAAAUUCAGGAGCUUACAUUUGGUAUCAGAGCUGUCUCGGGUCCGACUCUGUUGGUUGGCUAAGGGAUUCACACCACAUGUUGAUUGACAUCUGGCUGGUCCAGUUUGCUCUCGCUGGGCUCGACCCGAGGGGUAGGGUGUCAAGAGAGCGGGGCUCUCGGGAGAGCUGCGGCUCUCAGCUUCCGUUCACGAGGGCGUGAACUUGCAGGGAAGCGUGGUGGAUUGUAAGCAACCAAAGGGAACGACUUGAGAGACGAUCCAUGGGGUUCAAAUAUAGAAGGAAAGGGCCCAUGAACAAGAGUGCACCCCCUUUUCCAAUCGAUUAAGGGUUUUGGGAUAUUUGGGGUUAAGCGUCCUUGGGUUUGAAUAGUACUGAAUUGGGUGACCUCCCGGGAAGUCCAAAUUCAUAAGCUUAUAUGUUUAUGGGCCCUUUCUCUUUAUAUUUGAACCCUAAUGGAUUAUUUUUGGAGAUAUUCUCUUUAGUUGUUUAGUGCAUGUGAUCAUGAGAUGAAAUUUGGAUAUAUUAUUACCAUGGAUCUUUGAAACCUUGAGGGAUAUAUAGGGAUAAAAUAACUACUAAGGGCUUUCUAAUUAAAUAAUUGCUCUUUUUUCAGUUGGAUUAAAAGGAGAGAGAUAGGUGUAUUAUAUAUGUGUGAGACAUAAAUCCGUAAGUCCCAAAGUGGAGCCAAAAGUGUGCCAUAUAGUAGUGGUCGAAGCAAAAAUCCAAUGAGCAUAACACAUUUGGACCAAAAGUUUCAAUUUGAAAAGUUGAAAGUAGGAGUGAAACUCUAAAUGAAAGUGCUUAAGAAAUAAGCACAAAGUGAUCAAUGAAUGAGUCUCUAGAAAGGGACACAAGAAGGAUUGACACAUGACAAGUGUCAUAACAUAUGGAAGUGCUAAGAAAGAGUCCAAGAAGGAGUUUGAGAAGGAGUUCAAGAUGGAGACUGAGAUGGAGUUCAAGAUGGAAUCUGAGAAGGAGUCCAAAAAAGAGUCUAAAAAGAAGUUUGAGAUAGAGUUUGAGAUGGAGCUUGAGGUUGAGUCCAAACUAGUCUGAGAUUGAGACCGAGACCGAGACUGAGACAAAGUCCAAGACCAAGACCAAAAUUGAGACCGAGUCUAAGUCCGAGUCCAAAUCUAAGUAUAAGUCUAAGUUUGAAUCCAAGUCCAAAUCUGAGUAUGAGUCUGAGUGGUGAAAGCCCAAAGCAAUUGUCCCUAAAAGGGGGGCAGGGUCGAUUGUAAAAAGUUCCAAAAGUAUAAUAGGGAGAGUAUAGGGGUUCGACUCCAAUAGAACUAAUUUGGCUAGGAAAGAUUAGUGUGACCCAAGAAAGUUAUACCCAUGUGGUGGGUACUAUUGAAGAGUCCAAGGCUAGAGUGAACACAAAUAGACAAAUAAGAUAACUUAGUGAAGUAUUCAAGAGUUGGCUUUAGCUCUCCCCGAAAGAUUGAAUAAUCAAUGUUUAGGGGGGGGUUGCAAGGGGUUUCAAAAGUAUAGUAGGGAGAGUGUGAGGGUUAAACUCCAUUGGAAUUAAUUUGGCCAAGAAAAGGCCAAUGUGACCUAGGAUUAUACCCAUGUGGUGGGUGAUAAUAUAACCACUAAAGAGUCUCAUGCUAGAGUGAACAUGAACAAAUAAAUGGGGUAACUUGGUAAAAUGUUCAAGAACCAACUCUAGAUCGAAUGGUCAAUGCUCCCAAUUCAAGUGUUACCUAGUAUAGCUAAAGCACAUAAAGGUAGAAGGUGGGGAGAGUACCCAUAAAGUUUGUAUAGGGCUAUAGUGUUUCGAAAUGUCAUCCCAAAGUCCUAGACUAUAAAACAGAAGAGGAGUAAUCCUUUUGCAUAGUGAUCAAAGGCAUGGUCACGUAACAUAAUGAAUUGACAUGUUAAUGAUACCUUUGAGUGUUUAUAUCAAGAUCAAACACGUGGAGAACUUGGACAAAAUGCAAAAGUAAAGUGGCAUAAAGGCUAUUCACAGGGUUAUCAAGUCCCUAAGUCAGGAAUAAAAUUUAUAGAGGUUAUGAGUAACACUCUUCCAAGUGGUCAAAGGUAUGGUUAAAUGAUUAAAGUAUAGAGGAAAAAUUAAUCACUUUCUAUGUGCAAAUGACAUAAGUUUUAUUCCCAUUAAUUAGUGGCUAUUUAAAAAUAAUAUACUAUUGAGUAAGAUAUAUUUUUACCCCUAAAAUUAAAAUUGUACAUGACUACAUCCUUUGUUUUAUAGGGCAUCCAUUGAUGAGAUUAUGGUACGAACGGAUGACUAGUUGCCUUAUAUGGAAUAAUUUAAUCCAUUAAGAUUUGGAUACAAUGAAAAGAUUGGUACAUUUAGUGUGGAAAUGGAAUUAUUAGUUCCUUUUGGCUCAGUAGGGGUUAUUAAUUAAUAGUCAAUGAGGAUAUUAAUAUCUUUAAGAGGGCAAAAGAGAGGGUUGAGGGUAAUGGAUAUGAUUUGUUAUUGCCAAGAUAAAGAGCACAGAGCAUUGAUAGGCGUGCAUUGGAAUGCGGAUAGCAACUUCCGUAAAAAGGUAUGGUGGCGAUAUUGUUUACAUUGUCAGCUGUUUGUGACCAUCAGUGGCGGUGGAUGCAACACACAUCCCCCUUGAAACAGGCUGCCAAGGGCACAUGAAGCUGUACCUUGUGCUUUGAGGUUGAGCGACAUGCUCUCUCCAAUUGCUGCUGCCAACAUUGCACUUGUCCAUUUAUUAAUUGGUCCCGUGGCUGCAGAAUCACGCAAAUUUAAAUAUAUUGUCACUAUAGAUUUUUUAAACCUUUAGGGAUAUAUGGGAAUAAAGCUUUCUCAUCAAAUAAUUUUAAGGGGAGAGAGAUAAAGUGUGUUAGUAUUUACAAAGGUUUAAACCAUAUAGAAAGCACGUAAUCAUUCUCACUUCAAAAGAUCACAUACUAGAGUGUUUGUUGUGAUGGUGGAGACUCAUGCUAGUAGUAGUACAAACUACACUAUAUCAUCCUCAAGACAAGAGGAAGCUAUCGAAAUUAGAGGAGUGGCAAAAGGCAUGGCUUAUGUAUUUUAGUGUAGUCGGUGAGAAGGGGAUCCACUAGAGAUGGUGCCCCCUAAUGUUGAUUCUAAAGUCCAUGCAAAGAGGAGAUGUAGAUUUAGAUAUGGUAUAGAGAAAGAGACUACAAUUGCUUCUAUUAUAGGUUUAGGCCUGCAUGUAUGAAGAGGGAGAGUUUCGUUAGGUAGUUCCAUUGGAGGAGGCAUGCUCAAUUUUUGUAUUAAUACCUUAGGGAAUAUAUAUAUAUAUAUAUAUGUUUCACCAAAACAAGACUAACAUAUAGAGCAUGAUAAUGAAGUUGUCUGGGCAAACAUGGUAAGUUGUCACUUAGUAAAUAUUAAGGGACUAAACUUAAUAUUGCAGGAGUUUUUAACAUUCACUUAAGAAUUUUAUCCUUAUACUGUUUUGGUCAAGUGCACACUUGAAAAUUAAUUUCUUAACUAGCUGAGUAGAGAUUAAUAAAGUAACACCAACCAGUAGUAACGCAAGAAUAUUUGAAAAAACUCACUACAUUUGGUUUGAUGUAGAUUUUUUUGGAUUUUUAGAGUAUCAAUGUUAAAUUAGUAGGUGGCAAAUGUAAUAUAUCAUGUUAGUCCUCUCAAUACUCUACACCAUUGGAUAAAGAUUCAAGAUUUACACUAUAUGCUUGAGAAAACCUCACAUCUUUCUAAAGUGCUACAUAGCAUGUUAUUAAAAUCAUAAUUAUCCACUAUUAUAUAUAUGCUAAAUGUAUUCUUAUAAUUCUUCCACUCCCUUCCAUCAAAUCUACUAUACUCUAACACAAUUUAGAAAUCCAUACAAUCUCUAGAAACAUUCUUUACUACUUAUGUUAUGUCUCAUCACUAACAGCUUAAUAAAUGAUAGAGAUGCCAUUCUACAUAAACUUCAUAAACUUCAAAACUUGAUACAAGCAGUGAUAACAUCAAAACUUUUAAUUGCUAGAGGUAGCCACUUGCCAUGGAAUUGUUAUAUCCAAUAAUGUUAUAAAGACUAAGAUUUUGAAGUUAUAAAGAUCAAACAUCAACAAAGACCUUAUAAAUUUUUAUUCUACUGAACUUAGAUUUCAUUUCAACCCUGAAAACAAUUUUUUUAAAAAUGCCACAAAUGCAAGCUUACUUCCUUGAUAUACUACCUUCAAGAGUUUUAAUGGAGUUUUACUAGCUCAAAAUCCACUGAAAAAUAUGUUAAAAUCCUAAGUGAAAAUAAAAUUUUCUGCUUUAAAAAUACUACUAAUAAUAAUAUAUAAAAUUAUUUUAUUGGAGUUUGGUGAGAGAAGUAUUACGCAAAGUACCUUGUUUUGUCAAAACUGCCUUUUCCUAGUUUUGUGGCGAGAGAGACUAAUGUGUUCCAAAAUAAUUUCUUGCACAAGAUCUCUAUCCAAGAACAAAAGAUAGCUUAACGUUUACAAUUUUUUGCUGUGUUGGUUUAAGCUACACAAAUGGUGUUUCUUCCUUAGUCUACCGGGAGUGAUCCACAGUGACUCCAGCCGUGUAAGAGUUAACCUCCUCAUAGAGGGCCGUGUGGAUUUCCAUGCACUUCUCCGUGAAACUCUGGAGCUCCUGGAAGAGAGGAGGGAGACUGCUUUGAAGUCCACACAGCGUGAACGACCUCGUGUCCUGGAUCGCUCCCCGGAACCGCUGCUUCUCAAUCUCCACUCUCUCCCCGAGCUUGUCGACCGAGCUCUUCUUCUUCCCCACGCUGCCAUCCAUCUGCUGCUGCUGCUGCUGCUGCUGCUUUUUCUCCAAGCUCUUGAGCGAUAUCAUCUUCUUGCUGAGCUCCUUGGACAGCGCCUCGGUCCGGCGCUGGAGUCGGAUCUCCUCCGCCUGCUUCGUCCCAAUCUCGCGCAGCGUCUCCGACAGCUGCUUCAUCCUGCUGCUCACCGCCUGGAGCGGCAGCUUCUCCAGCGCCUCGGCCCACUUAUCGCUCAUGUGUCGGAUCUUUGGCACCACCGCCGCCUUCUUCCCGGACUUCUUCGGAUGUGAGUCCGGCGGCAGGCUCGACUUGAUCCAGCCGCUGAGGCUCCGCACGUAGUCCUUUUGCGUGGCGAUGAAGCUGCCCAGGCCCGUCUGCCAGGCCGUGAGCGCCAGCUCCAGCUGCGCGGUGGUGUUCCGGUGAGACACGCUGAUCGCUUCCAAGGACGACUCCCGCGGGAGUUUGAGGUGCAUGACAACGCGAAGUUGCUGCUGGUGACACUCGUGCAUGUUCUUCCACAUGACGGCAAGCCUGUGACGGAAUCCAAACAACAAGUCGACGUGAAGAAAGAAAAACUAAAAGCAAGUACCCUUCCAAGAGCUCCAAAAGUUGCGGAAGCAUUUCUUCGUCCGUGAUCUUCUGGAUAUUGGCCGACGAAGCUUCCAUCGCGUGGACCGCCACAGUUAUCUCAGUCUCCAAGGCCUUCAUACUCGCUCUCGUCUUGUCUAUGACGUCGGGCUUCGCCCCUCUAGCGUCCAAGUUGCGAAGAAGCCUGCGCUUUCGUUCCAGCUCCGUAUUGACAGCCUCCCAGGCCUGAGAAGAAGAAAAGCACAGAGAAUAAGAGCUUAGUUCCAGAUCGAAGAACCCGGAAGUAGAAGUACUACCUUGACCUCUUCAUACAAUUUCUUCUCCCAUGCGUAAAGUCGAUCCAAAGUUCCAGCGUGACUCCCGGACAUGCCACCAGCCUCAAUGUCAAAUCCACUGGGCGAGCUCAGAGAUCUCGGCGACCAAUGCCCGAGCGAAAGAGCGCUCAGCAACCGGGAAGAAUGAUCCGAGAAGCCUGCGGACGAUCAUCAGCCUGUUCUUCCAUGAAACCAUAGUUCCUUACCUUUCUCGAGCUGGACUUUGCCCGCCUCCAGCAUUCUCACUACUGGCUUUCCAGCCUCGGAAGCCCGGAGAAACUGUUCUUCCAGCUCCCGGAGCACAUCCACAAGCUCCACUGGAGCUGGCGUCUCACUCUUCUCGGUCGAUCCAAUUGAUUCUCCCGCGGCCGCAUUCUCUUUCUCUUGGACUUCCCCGUCGCCGUCACCGGCAUCACCGCCGCCGCCGCUCCUGCUGCUGGCGCCAUCGCUGGAGGAACCACUGGUCGACGCGUCAUCAUCUUCCGGCUCGAAAAUCUCCUCGAUCCUGGGCGCCGCGGGAGCGCCAGCGACAUUCUUCUCCUCCUCCUCUCCUCCAGCNNNNNNNNNNNNNNNNNNNNNNNNNNNNNNNNNNNNNNNNNNNNNNNNNNNNNNNNNNNNNNNNNNNNNNNNNNNNNNNNNNNNNNNNNNNNNNNNNNNNNNNNNNNNNNNNNNNNNNNNNNNNNNNNNNNNNNNNNNNNNNNNNNNNNNNNNNNNNNNNNNNNNNNNNNNNNNNNNNNNNNNNNNNNNNNNNNNNNNNNNGCCGCCACGUUCUUCCUCCCCGAAUUGGGCGAAGUAAUCGUUCUCGCUCGUGAAGUUCCUCCUUCUGGGCGGGGAUAGCACCACUGUGACGGCCUCCGUGGGUGUGUUCCUCAGCAUCAUCGCUUUGAUUCUCGAGCUCCUCUCUUCGAUUUCCUCCGAGGGAGAGGGAGAGAGGGAGAUCGAAAUAGGGGAUUCCUCCUGCUCUUCCUCUGGAUCCUCUUCCUUGUGGGCGGUGCUCUUGGCUGUUGGCGGUGGAAUCGGGGCCUCGCGAUCGCUGGAUCUAAAUCCCAGCUCGCUAUCCGAGAAUUGCUUGAAGGCCAGGGACAUGGCGGCGAGCGCCUGGACAUAGCGGGCGUGGGAGCAGGCGAGCGCCGUGCGAGCUACCACCGCUUGCUUGACGAAGGACUUGCGUGCCUCGCACUGCCCAACAACGUCUUCGUUCUGGAUCUUGGAGCUCACGCAGCACCCCAUUUGCGAUGAUCUCCCUCUCAAAGGCCCUCUGUGUAGUAACGUCUGGAGCGAUCCAAGACCUGUUCUAGAGGAUGCUCUUCAUUCCUUCCUUCCAGAGCCCUUUUAGAAGAACUCCAGUUUGAUCCUCGAUUCUGCCGAUAGUUCUAAUGCUCGACAGCGAGCCCACCACUCGCCCCUAGUGUAAGGAGAUGGAAUCUCCACCAUCGUUGUCACCAUAGCCAAAAGCUUAAAGCCCUCUCACUCUCUCCCCGCGUGGAUAAGCACGAAGGACUUCUCCCCAAUCCAGGAAGACCAGUACGAGCGAGAAAACAAAAACAAACAAGCCAAACCGACCAAAACGAUCCCAAACUAACACCACCACGAACACCACUUUCGCCCAGGAUAUGGAGGAAUCAUGUCGAAUCGAUCAAACAGGCUUUCAAACAAGUUGGGAAUGAAGAGGAAGAGAGAAUCUAGCACGGAAUAAUCUACCUUUGGUUCUUGGCGCAACUUCCCCUUGGAAGAAUCCUUGGUCUUCUGUGACACAUUAAAGGGGAGAAGGAAAUAAAAGAGAAGAAAGAAGACCUUCCUUUUUUCCCCUUUGCUUUUGGGAUCCCAUGUCAUAAUUGCGGGGCACGGACUCACACAAUACAUACAAUAACCAGGGAAUGAUUCUUCCCAUGCAUGAAUGUCUGAUGAAAUUUACUAUGGUUUUGUUGUUUCUGGCCUAUUGUUUAGUAGAUUGUGAUUGUCCAGGCAAACCAUACAAGCUUGUUUCUUUAAGUUUUCACCAACCACUAAGAUGGCUUGGAAUUGGGUUCAUUGCUAAUGAGAUUUGGGGACCAACUGGCGGCCAGCUUUUGCUGUGCCAAGUUAAAAAGUUGGAAUUGACAAGGUAGCCUCCCCCAAAUUGGCGUGGAAGAACUUUUGUAAUAACCCCUAUCUAGGUGCUUGACCCCAGCUUCGUACGUAUGUAAGCAAUAAGUGGAUGCAUCAUGCUCGUCCAAAGAGUGAGUGGACUGGAUCAAGACAAGUAAUGGUGGCCAGCUGUUAGUUUUUCUGCAUUGUAUUUUAGUUCUAUAAAAUGAGCUUAUGUUUAAAUUUUUUAAUUAAUAAUAUAUAUAAAAAAGUUAUGGUGUAACUUAUAUGAAAAAAUGACUUCAUAUUUUAAGAUGAAAAAUCACACUAUUUUGGGAUGAUAGCCAUUAGAGUAUAAAAUAUGUCAUUCAUUGCAGUUAAAAACUAAAUAAAAAUGUAAACUAGCUGUUAUAAAAAAUUUGAAAGAAAGCAUAAAAAUCUCACUAAUAAAUCUAUAAUAAAUUAAAAUAAAGAAAAAUUGAAAUUCUAUAUAUAAUAGAUUUUUUGAAAAAAUAAACCAUUUCACUUAAUCUUUUAUCUCAUCAGAAAACUAACAUUAUUAUAAAACUUAAAAUUAGUAUAUAUAUAUAUAUAUAUAUAUAUAUAUAUAUAUAUAUAUAUUGUAACAAUUUAAAACUUUUAAAUUAUCUUCUCCUCAAGCUUAUUUUUUAUAGCAAAUAUUCUUUAGGUCUUAACAUUCAACUUAAAUUCUAAAUUAAGAGUGUUAAAGUACAAAAAUAUUAAAAGAGAUCAAAUAUCUAUUAAAAAUUAAGUUUGUUUCAACAUCAUAUGCCAAGCCGUGGUCCUGUCCCGGUCCCACAGACGGACAUUGACCACAAAAUUGACAGACGUUGACAGAGCUUGACUGGCGCUGGGAAAAGGAAAGAAAGCUCUCUCUAACUUGCCUUGCCACGUAACUGGAAAANNNNNNNNNNNNNNNNNNNNNNNNNNNNNNNNNNNNNNNNNNNNNNNNNNNNNNNNNNNNNNNNNNNNNNNNNNNNNNNNNNNNNNNNNNNNNNNNNNNNNNNNNNNNNNNNNNNNNNNNNNNNNNNNNNNNNNNNNNNNNNNNNNNNNNNNNNNNNNNNNNNNNNNNNNNNNNNNNNNNNNNNNNNNNNNNNNNNNNNNNNNNNNNNNNNNNNNNNNNNNNNNNNNNNNNNNNNNNNNNNNNNNNNNNNNNNNNNNNNNNNNNNNNNNNNNNNNNNNNNNNNNNNNNNNNNNNNNNNNNNNNNNNNNNNNNNNNNNNNNNNNNNNNNNNNNNNNNNNNNNNNNNNNNNNNNNNNNNNNNNNNNNNNNNNNNNNNNNNNNNNNNNNNNNNNNNNNNNNNNNNNNNNNNNNNNNNNNNNNNNNNNNNNNNNNNNNNNNNNNNNNNNNNNNNNNNNNNNNNNNNNNNNNNNNNNNNNNNNNNNNNNNNNNNNNNNNNNNNNNNNNNNNNNNNNNNNNNNNNNNNNNNNNNNNNNNNNNNNNGCGAUGAUGUUCUGGAGGAGAUAGUGUCGCCCCGACGCAGCGAUGAGCGAGCUUAUCGUCCACACCACCCGGAGCUUGAAGCCACCGUCGGCGUCUGGAAGGUUUCCAUCGUCUUCCGCCGCUGCUGGUGGUGGUGGUGGUGGCGACGAGCUCUGCGUGUCGGAGCUUCUCCUUUGAGCAGCACUACUUAGCCAGGAGGACGACGUCCUGGUCGAGUUCUUCCUGCUACUACUUUGAUCGCCGCUGUUGAUCAGCGCCGAGGCACCCAGGAUGACGCAGCUCUCGAGAGUGCUCCCAUACCUGGCCUUCCACUUGAGCAGAAAACCAUCCUCGAUCUCGAGCUCGCCACCCGGGAGCUCGAUUCUCAAGUGCUCCAAGUCUCUAAAGUUCUUGAGGACUUCCCCGGGAGAGUGGUGUGAGACGUCGGCGGCGGCAGUGGUUGCGGCGGAGGUGGAAGCAACCAAAGCUCUCUUUGGGACUAGCAAGUGUUGAAGAGCUUGGAGUGGCCGGACCAUACUCCCAAAGAAUUUUAGCAAGUGACCAAAGAAGCCUUUGCCUCGAGCGCUUAGAUGGCCAGCCUCGUCCCCGGAGAUCACACAGUCCACCUUUACCACCACAUUAUCCACCGUUCUAGCGAGAGAAUAGAACCUCUUAGAGACCGCGCAGCACCGCCCCAGCGAUUUCACGUCCGAUACCUUGUUGAAGAUGAGCAGCAGCAGAGAAUCCGGCAGGCUGUCGAAGGGAUCGACGAGGAAGAUCAUGAGCGGCGCCGAGAGCAUCCGGCAGUGCUUGUUCUCGAAAUUCUCGUGCCAAUCCGGCAUGGCUGAGAGGAUUCGCGGCCCCAGAAACCCCAAAAUCACCAAUCUCGCACGAAUCUCGCCUCUAGAUGACGACGACGGGAACGGCGGCCAUGGAUUGGAACGCUGGAACGCGUGACCGGCGCAGCGGCUAGCACGAAUCACAGCCAAGCAGUAGUACCUUGCAGCUUUUUCUCGAUCCAGCAGCAGUGAUUUGCUCGAGAUCCAUAGCCAGUGCCUCCUGUUCUUCGCUGCCAGCGCCAAGGACGUGUAGAUCUGCGCAUUCAAUGCCCCGCCCAGGGCAGAGAGAAGAAAGAAAACCUCUCAUCUCAUACGAGUAGCAAAGGAAAAAAGAAGGGAAAAAAUCAGUGAUGACGUGUGCAGACGUGGCAGCGCCAGGACAGUCCACGUGGGUCGAAAGGAAGGAUAUUCUCGUCUGUGAUUGUUGGCGUUCCACGUCACGGCCACAUCACGCAGCAUAGAAUCCUUCUUGUUGAGUUUUAGGGUUCUUUGGGGAUUUUGGUGAUGGUGGAUCUCUACCGAGUGCUCGGCGUGUCCCGGGACGCGAGCAGCGAUGACAUCAAAGCUGCAUUUCGCCGCCUGGCGCUCAAGUUCCAUCCGGAUCGCCACGCCAACGCUUCCAAAUCCGAGCAGCGCAACGCGUCGGAUAGCUUCAGGCAAGUGAAAGAGGCGUAUGAGAUUCUUGGCAAUGACAAGAAGAGGGAGGUUUACAAUCGAUCGGGGCCGAGAUACAGCACUCCGGGCAGCAAUCCUUCCUCGACGUAUUCCGCCGCUCAAGCGGCCAGAAGUGCUUACGCGAGGACCGCGCAGCAGCACAGGGAUUGGCGAUCCGAGCAGCGCUACACGAGCUACACGGAUGGAUCUUCUAGUCGAUCGUCAGAUUGGUCGUAUAGGGGAAAUUAUGCCGGAUCCAAGAGGGACUACGAUUAUAGUGUAAGAUGGACAUUUCAUCAUGCUCCCAGUGAAGGCCCAAGGAUGGUUCUUCGAGCCACUCUCUUCGGGUAAGUUCUUUAGCUGGUUUUCUUAGAAAACAUUCUUUCUUCUGUGGCUCUUCUCGAUUGAGUGAAGACAUAUUUUCUUUCAGCAUGGCAGUGGUGACAAUUAUGCUAGCCGACUCGAUGAUGAGCAAUGCGUGGAGGCACAACAAUACCGGGGUAGGUUCCAAGUCUCUUUCUAUCUUCAAAGAUUUGGAAAACUCUAGACUGGACGUGUGUUUACUCAGAAAUCAUACGAGGAGAUGGUGGAGCGUUUGCAACAAGAAAAGAAAGCUGCUAAAACCCGAGCGGCAGCAGCUGACAAAGAUGAAUAGACGAGGUAUGUGCAUACUGUAUUUUCUUUCUUCAAAGAGAAUGGAUUGGUGGUGUAGAGCAAGCACACGCAUUCUCUAAAGGAACAAAACAGAGGAGGAGAUGUAGAGCAACCGGAUAACUCGUAGAGUGUCCCAGCUUUGUACAAGUUACUAAUCAAACUUUCGAUCUGUUCAAGGCAGCACACCCUCUCUUUAUGCCACCGGUUUCGGAGCGGAAGCUAGAACAGGCACAGGAACUGCUCCUGGCUGUUGUCGAGCGACCGAGAAACUUUGGAAGCCAGCUCCAAGUCGCUCCACCGCCAGCACUUCCAGCUCCCGCAGCAGCACCCUCACCAACUUGAUCUAGUAAGCGGCUUAUGAAUCCUCCGUUUUGCUGAUGUUUUACUUCUGGUUUUCUGUAGACGACAGGACCGAUGGUAUACACCAGCUGCUGGUUGCCUCCGUUUCUUCGAUGCCGGUAAUCAGAUUUAUCCUCGAGGGAGACUGAGACGGCGUGCUGCUUCACUCGGUGGUGAUGAUCUGUCGCAACUUUGGCAAAACACUUGACAAGGAGCUUGUUACUGGGCAAAUCCACCAUGAAGGCUCCGUUCUCAUCGCUGGUACGUAGCGCAUUGAAUACCAGAAGCCCAUCCCUGUUUUUACAUUCCACCACCGCGGUCAUUCCUGCAGGAAAGGCGAUAAGUUUUCAGUUGCCGAAAUCCUCAGCGAGAGCACGUACCAGGCAGGAAUGACAGGCUUUGGCCCCAGCAGUCGUACCACACAACGUGGCCGACGAGUGUUCUUGUCACAGGCGUUGCACUCCGGCUUGGAGUCUGACCGCUCGAGAGCUGAUGCUUCUUCUUUCGGUGGAAUUUGUGGGCGAUCUUCCGGUGCCUGGGACUGGCAGCCUCGGCCAGAGAUGCUGCUGCCAGUGUCAAGAGGAUCAAACAAGCCAGCAAGCGGGAUUUCGAAGCGGCCAUUUUCGAGGAGAAGAGGGAACAAGCAAUGCAGGACUGCAAGACGGAAGUUUUAUAAGCAGAAUAGUACGAGGGGGAGGAACUACAGAAGAAAGGACUCGUCAAGCGAGGUGAUCUGGUGACCAAACUUUGCAGAAAAUUCCAAACUCUUCGUUUCUUUUCCUUUCCAGGCGGAAGAGUGGUCGGUCACUGGUGGUGUUUUUCGUCGGGAAUGGAGUUUCUACCAUUUUGACUUUGAUGUAAGUAAUGUCUAGUAUACUUCACUCGCUACAAAUCGCGAAAGCUCUAAGAUCUCUGUUUUGAUUACCAGAUGUGACUUCGUCACUGGCAGCGAGGCCACCAAUUUCUUCUUGGCGAAAAGGUAUGCCAAUCGUGCGCGUAAAUUUCUCAUUUUUAUCAACUUUGUCAGACAUACACAAGUUCGUUAUUCAUGGUUUCUAAGCUAUCGAUCACUCUUGUUAUUGCAACUCUGUUAGUAACGAGCUACGGAUCCAUCGGUCUAGUUUCCUGGGGGAGGAGGAGCUGCGAAGAAUGGGAACUGGAACGCUGGGAGCUGCGGGAAUCCCAGGAAGGGAGGGAGCCCCGCGAGAGGUGGAACUUGCGAGAGGAGCGGCGGUGGAUUGGCCGGGAUGGGAGGGAAGAGAGACGUGAUUGGGAAUUGCGAGGCCGGGGACGAUGGAAUCCCUCCGAAAUUCGGGAAAGAAACCGGUGGGAAGGACAAUGGGUUCCCGAAAUUCGGGAAGCUGGGAAACGCUGGAGCUUUCUCUUCGCCAAAUUGAUGAGAGGACGAAGAAGCGUCACUCUUGGAUUGUUUAGCCUUGUCCUGCGAGCUCUCCCCGCACGAUUUGAUCGAUUGGAGAGAUUUGGAUGGUGUGUAGACGAAAGGGCCAGUGCUGAAGAUUCGAUGGCCCUCGAUUGUUGUGUAGGGAGUGAGAGAAGAAUGCGAUUUCUCCAUGGCGGCAACGUUGCAUGAGCGCUGCAGAGGAGUGAUUCCUUUCUCUCCCGCGGCGACGCUCGCGGCGCAGAGCUUGAAUCCAUCGCCGGAGCCGGAGAUUUGCGAUGGGAUGUCGAGAGAGAACCUCCCCUGCUCGUCCGUGGCUUGCUGCGCGGUAAAGAAUGGACGCUGGCCGCCGACGGCUUUGCACGUAAGUGAGACCGUCAUACCUGUAAGAGAGUGAGCGAAUCCGCCAAAAACUUUUUUACCAGCGCGCUCUACCUGAGAGGAAAACGCUGUUGCUCGUGAGAUUCUUCUCGCGGCAGGCAUCACACACGACGUAGCCCAUCACUUUCCCAUACUUUUCUCCUCCAUUGCUGGUGUCGAGUAGCUUUCGCGCGUUGGCCAGUGACGAGAGCGCCGCAAGAGCUGCGGUAAGAAUUGCGAGCAACGACCACAACCCCAUCGCUGCUGGAGCCCCCCAAGCGAGAUACGAAAGAAACACUCGACUCGACUCGACUCGGUUGGAGAGAGGUCUGCGUUGAAGAACUGGAUGGAUUGGCAAAAGCAAAGCUCUCGUGGGCGCGGGGGGCUCUCUCACUCCCUCCAUCUUUUUAAGUUUGCUCUCUGCCAGAUCGCAGACUGUCACGGGAUUCAUGGGCUCCGGUCGGCAGGGCGACGUAACUUUAUGGUGCCACCACCCCCAAAGCAAACAACAGAGAUUGAGCUAUGGGCGAGAGGUUGAUCCUGGAGAAACAGCUGUGGAUUCGCCAUUUAGUCCUUCAAGGACUUGAGCCUAAGAAGUGUAUCCCUUUGCCAAUGGAGGAGAAAAGUUGGCAGCGACUGCUCAUCCAACACCUGACGCCGCUUUAUGAAUGCCAUAUGCCGCGCGCAAUUUGUUGAUGCAGCCAGCGGUAUGAGAAAAGAGAGAGAGAAGAGAGGCUUUUGAUAAAAGACAACACGGGACGAGAGAUCUCACCGAAUGAGUAAAGACUGCCGCAUGCAAUCUCUGAAGGUGCACGUCCAUAUCUAGAAAACGUACUUAUAUAUAUUUGCUCAAAACCUAAGGGUAACGAAAGAAACAUUUAUUUUAGGAUCAAGCUUGCCUCCAGUUCGACUUUGAGGUAAAUGGCAUGGAGGAGCUGACGAGGAUCCCAUCUCCAGCGUCCUCCACCGCACCAAGUACAAGGCUCCCUCGAUGAACUCAACGUCGUACUUCGGUCGACGAUGGCGACGAUGGCAACGAUGGCAACGACGACCCGGCCGAAGCUAAAGGUUACUGGCUUGCCUGGGCUGCUGGCUCCCUCACAGCGCUUUCCCUCGACGCUCAUAUCUUGGGGACCGGCGGUCUUGAUCGCGUCCUCCACCGCGAUGCGGAGGCUCUGCAUAACUGGGAUGAUGCGCACUAGCGACCUGAGCUUGGUGUCGUGCUCUCUCCAGUGGCUUCAAACGUGCGAGCUUCACUCCCUCGUCUCUCCCAGGCUGGAAGUUUUGAGGGCUGGAUUUGGCAGCGAUCAAUCUCUUACAGUCUCGAAUGGGGUCUCGUCUUGUCUGGACAUUUCGACGACGGCUUUGAGACGUUUGAGCUCACAGUCGACGCCCCGGAUAUUCUGUUGUUGGAAUUGCGUCGAGCGAGUAGGACUCCCUCGCGCAUCAGGAUGUGAGGACGGGCAUCUUACUUAACUCUUGUGUUCUUGACAAGCCAUUUAAGAAGCUCCGUAGCUUGAUGCUAAUGGGAUCCUGGGAGAUAUCAGCUCUCUCGGUUUUCGCCUCUGGUCUCGACGCUCUCGCUUCGUCUUGACCAGCAAGAUCGAGAUGCAUGGACCAGGUUUGGCCGCGCAUGUCGACUGUCGUUCUUUUUUGAGGUGGAUCUUGAUCUUUUCGUCUUGUAUUCAAUGGGGAUGUAGCGCAAAGAUCUCCGUGUUCAUCUCCACGUGAGGGGCACUACACCAACGUGGUGGUUCUCAGGGAUUUACUUGGAGUUUAUCAAGUCAAAAAGCACUGGCAGGAGGUGGCCAGCUGGGAAGUCAAGGUUUGAGUGCUUGCGGUGUCGUUCGACGUGCUGGUCGUGUUUCUUUCACACCCGAGGAGCGGGUCCGUGAUUACUCUUCUUCGGAUUUGCUGUUUUAACCCUUUUGAUUUGGCCAAGUGCUGAAGAUGUAUCCCUCGAUUGUCCUGUAGGGACUGAGCGAAUUCUCCAAGGCGGCAAUCAUUGUAUGAGCACUGUAGAGGGAUUCCUGCAGCGCAGAGCUUGAAUGAGCCGGAAAUUUGGUCGAGAGAGAACCUCCCGAGGCUUGUUGCUGUGCAGCAAAGAAUGGCCGCUGGCUUUGCUCUACCUGAGACGGCAGGCAUAACGUUGGCCAAUGGCGAGACUGCCACAAGAGUUGGGCGGUUCAUUGACUCAAAUUGUUCUUAAAACUCACGGAAGAUAUGUAUUAUCAAAGUAAAGGUCAGAAGAAAGAAAAGGAAAAAUUAGAAUGCGGCCGAAGGCCAAUGGUGGAGCUGGACCUGGUGCACGUUUUCACCAAAGUGGGUGAUGCGCGGCAGCUCGCAAAAUGCGCAAGCGAUGGUGGCCGUCUGUCGCCUGUCCUUCGGCUUUGAACAAAGCUCCCGGCUGCCUCAAGGAGCUCAGCGUCAUGCUCUCAUGGUAUGGCGACGAUGACCCGAUCGAAGCUACGGUCACUGGCUUGCCUGGGCUGCUGGCUCCCUCACAACACUUUUUCUCGACGAUCGGGAUGAGCUCAUAUCAUGGGGACCGAAGGUCUGGAGCGUGAUCGCGUGCUCCACCAAGAUCCAGAUGCUCGAAAUAACUGGGAGGAUGCGCACUAGCGACCAGAGCUUGGUCUCAUGCUCUCUCCAGUGCCUAGAAGUGUGCAAUCUUGGCUCGCCCGUCUCUCCUGCGCUGCUCGAGAUGCUGCUAGCCUCAUGCACGAGACUGAGACAUUUGAGGGCUGGAAUUGGCAGCGACCGAUCUCUUACAGUCUCGAAUGGAAGCCUCAGUACUCUCGUGUUGUGUGGGGAAUUUGGCGAGCACUUUGAGCUCAUGCUCGACGCCCCGCAGCUGGAAUAUCUACUGCCGGGACUGCGUAGGACUCGAACGAGCAUCCGGUUGCGCUCCCAGGAUUUGAGGACGGCCAUCUUACAACUCUUGUGUUCUUGACCAUAUGAGACGCUGCGCAGCUUGACGCUACUGGGAUCCUGGGCGAUGGAUCCCAUCGUCCAGCUCUCUCGCUUCUCAACUCUAGUCUCGACGCUCUCGCUCCAGCUGUUCACCAGCGAGCAUUACGAUGACCAUGGACGAUAUGUUAUACUGGUUUGGCCGCUUCAUUAGGUCAGAGGGAAAAAUGCUGGAGCUGGACGGUUGCUCCCUGCUGGACGUCUUCGCCAAGGGGCGAUGCGCGGCAGCUCGCCAAAUGCUCGCUGGUGUGCAAGCGAUGUCUCUCGCGCUUCGACUUUGUGGUAAGUACCAGGCAGCAGCUGAAGGAUGCCGAAGAAGCGUCUCUCCACCGCACCAAGUGCAAGGCUCCCGGCUGCCUCAGCGUCAUGCUCCGGUAUAGCGGCCAUGGUGAUGACCAGAUGGAAGCUAGCGGUUACUGGCUUGCCUGGGCUGAUGGCUCCCUCACUACGUUUUCCCUCGAAGCUCGGGAUGGGCUCGAAUGGGGACCGACGGUCUGGCUCUUGAUCGCGUGCUCCACCGCGAUUCCGAGGCUCCACAUCGCUGGGAGCAUCUACACAGGCAACCAGAGCUUGGUGCCGUGCUCUCUCCAGUGCCUAUAAGCCUGCGAGCUGCAGUCGCCCGUCUCUCCUGCGAUGCCCCAGAUGCUGCUAGCAUCAUGCCCGAGGCUGGAACUUUUGAGGGCUGGAAUUGGCGACGAUCUUACAGUCUCGAGUGGAAGCCUCAGGGCUCUCGUCUUGUGUGGGCAACUCGACGAGGAGUUUGAGACGUUCGAGCUCACGAUCGACGCCCCGAAGCUGGAAACUCUACUGAUGCGACUGAGUCAAGCGAGUAGGACUAGCAUUCGGUUGCGCUCCCAGGAUCUGAGGAUGGCCAUGUUAUACAGCUCUUGUGUUCUUGACAAGCCAUGUCAGAAGCUGCGUAGCUUGACGCUUAUGGGAUCCUGGGCGAUGGAUUCCAUCGUCCAGCUCUCUCGGUUCUUGCCUCUGGCCUCGACGCUCUCACUGCAGGUCUUCACCAGCGAGUACAAGAUGACCAUGGACAAAAUCUUAUCUUGGUUUGGCCGCGUGGAGACGAUACAUGUCGACUGCUUUGCUUUUCAGGUGGAUCUCCGUCUUUUUGUCUUUCUUCUUCUUACCAAUCGCGUAAAUGCAGUCGUUUUUGCCCGGGGGUGUCUCUAAGCGCAAGGAUCUCACGCUUCAUCUCCACCGCCACCCGACGUGAUGGUUGUCAUGGAUUUACUUGAAGCUCAUCAAGUCAAAGGGCUCGUCAUUCACUGCGCCGAGGAGAUGGAACUGUGCUUGCGGUGUUGUUCGACUUGGUUAUGGUCUUUCCUGGUCUCAUUUCUUUCACGCGCGAGGAGUUACAGCCAUAUUAUGAUCUGAAAAAUUACAACUAAAGGCAGUGAAUAUUCGACUAAAGUAAAAGCACUGUGUAUUCAAAUUCUAGGGCUAGCAGUGUGAGAGAGGGGUGCUAUGGUGCUAGAGGCGGCGGGCUGCAGUGCUUCCACGUCCCAGGAAUCGGGUGAGGAGCUGACGCUGGUGGUGAAAUGGGUUGGCAAGGAUUACACGGUGCGGGUUUGCGGCGAUGACACGGUGGGAGAGCUUAAGCGCCGGAUCUGCGAGGUCACCAAUGUUCUUCCCAAGCGCCAGAAGCUCCUCAAUGUGAAGAAGGGAUCCAAGCCCGCCGACGAUUCCAUGCUGCUCUCCGGCCUGGGCCUCAAGCCUGCGAUCAAGAUUUCCAUGAUCGGGUAAGCUCCCAAUUUUUCCUUUUGUUUUUCUUUCAUGCUCUGCAUUGGAUAAAAAUGUUUGGUGGUAUAGUUUGCUUGACUGGGACUUCUUGAACAAAUAAAAGAGAGAAGAUUUUGAUAGCUUGCUAGCUCUGGUUUUACUCUUGAUUUAUUUCAUCGUUUUCCAGCACUGUGGAAGAUGAGAUAUUUGUAGAUACCGUGGAUGCUCCCGAGGUCUUGGACGAUUUUGAGCUGGGGGAGGAAGACACCACCGAUAUCAAAGACAAAGAUAUCAACAAGGCUAAGAUCCAGAGACGAGUUCAACAGUACAAGGUUAGAAAUAAUCUUGUGUUCCUGCACUUUUCUCAUGUCUUUCAUUUUUAUUGCGUGCUUUAUUCGCUGACAGUUAAAGCUGUUGAAUCCUUGUCGCCCGGGAAAGAAACUUCUCGUUUUGGAUAUUGAUUACACGCUCUUUGAUCAUCGUUCCACCGCCGAGAAUCCCCUGGAGCUGAUGCGCCCGUGUAAGUCGGUCGUGGAGCACACAAAGGCUGUGAUCUUUUCUCAUGAACUUCGCUUUUGACAGAUCUUCACGAGUUUCUUACGGCUGCCUACGCUGCCUACGACAUCAUCAUAUGGUCCGCUACAAGGUUUGACUCCACCAACAAGAGACAAUCGAGAAAAAAGAGGAUCCUUUUCUUACUAAUGUCGUGUUUGCUUUGCAGCAUGAAAUGGGUGGAAGUUAAGAUGAAGGAGCUGGGAGUUCUCGGCAAUGCAAGCUAUAAGAUCACGGCCCUCCUGGACCAUCUUGCGAUGAUCACAGUCCAGUCCGAGAGCCGCGGAGUUUUCGAUUGCAAGCCACUGGGUUUAAUCUGGGGAAAGCUUCCAGAGGUAAAGCGUUUAGAUCCUUCUUUAGAUCUCUUAUCAUUUUUUAAAUUUUGGUUUCUUCUUUCUUUGCUACAGUUUUAUGGACCAAACAACACGAUCAUGUUGGAUGAUCUCAAGAGGAACUUCGUGAUGAAUCCACAAAAUGGUCUCGUGAUCCGGCCUUUUAAAAAAGCUCACAUGAAUCGAGGCACGGACCAGGAGCUCGUGUACUUGGCAGAGUAUUUGCUCGCGAUCGGCGACUUGGACGACUUAAGUGGCCUGGAUCACAAGAACUGGGAGAAGUAUAGCGAGCAAAACAAGCGGCAAAGGCACCAGUGAUUACUUGGGAUAAUUUAAAAUCGGUGAAUAUUCCUGGCAUUGAGGGUCGAAUCGUUUCCCUCUCUGCCGCAUGUACAAAACAAUCUAGGGUUCUUGGAGGAGGACGUGAUCAAUGGCGCCGCGCGCCGCACACUGCGAUUUCCAUCUCCUCUGGCUCGAGGCGGUAAGGAAUCUAUGAUCUGCAUUCUCUUCUCGUUGCCGAUCGGGGGAUUUCUUGCGGUUGCAGCACCCCCGGGCGGGUCGUGCGCGCCGGAGAAGAAAAUCCGGCAGCUCGGGAGGAGCGGCGUGAGCGAUCGAGCAUAUUUGGAGGCAUGGAUGCCAUGGCGCGUGCCGUCAUCCGUGCUUCCGCUCCAGCUUCCUCUUCCUCCGGCUGCAAAAUGGGGAUCACAUCGCAUGGAGCUUAUCAGGACGACAAUCCCAUCGAUUUCGCGCUCCCUCUCCUCAUGGUCCAAAUGUGUAUCGUCCUGGCGCUCACUCGCUCGCUGGCGAUCGUGAUGAAGCCGCUGAGGCAGCCGAGAGUAGUGGCGGAGAUCAUUGUAAGUCCCGUGUUUCUUUCGCUCUAGAUCGAUGAUCUUAUUUGUUUCUCUUCUUGGCAGGGAGGGAUUCUACUUGGUCCAUCGGCAUUCGGCAGGAACCAAAGCUACAUAAACAAGAUCUUUCCAUCCAGGAGCAUCACAGUCCUGGAAACUUUCGCCAACCUGGGAUUGAUUUUCUUCCUCUUCAUGGUCGGCCUGGAGCUCGACUUAACAGCAGUGAUGCGUACAGGGAGGCAGGCUCUGGUGAUAGCCGCGGCUGGGAUAACUACGCCAUUUGCCACCGGAGUGGGAGUCUCAGUAGUUCUUCGCAACACCAUCUCCAAGGAAGGCAAGUUCAGUGCUUUUCUCGUCUUCAUGGGGGUGGCCAUGUCGAUCACGGCGUUCCCGGUGCUGGCACGUAUUCUCGCAGAGAGGAAACUCUUGACUACCGACGUUGGCCAGAUAGCAAUGUCCGCAGCAGCAGUGAACGAUGUGGUGGCUUGGAUUUUGCUGGCACUGGCAGUAGCUCUCUCCGGCACCGAUACGAGCCCGACAGUCGCUAUAUGGGUGCUGCUUACAGGCCUGGCAUAUCUGGUGAUCAUGUUUACGGUGGUCCGACGCUUUAUGACUUGGGUGGCACAUCACGUUACUGAGAACGAGCCCGUGAAGGAGCUCUACGUGUGCAUCACUUUUGCCGGGGUUCUUGCUUCGGCCUUUGCGACGGAUGUUAUUGGGAUCCAUUCCAUUUUUGGGGCGUUUGUUUUCGGCUUGAUCAUCCCGAAAGAUGGCCCGCUGGCUAAGAUUGUUAUCGAGAAGGUGGAGGACUUUGUCAUCGUACUGAUGCUGCCUUUAUACUUCGUUUCCAGUGGAUUGAAGACAAACAUCCAGUCUAUACAUGGAGCUAAGUCGGGUGGCCUCACGGUUUUGGUUAUUGCGUCGGCUUGCCUUGGAAAGAUCGUCGGCACUUUUGUUCCGGCUGUGGUCUAUGGAAUCAAUGCCAGGAAGGCGAUGACUUUGGGAUUUCUUAUGAACACGAAGGGACUGGUGGAGCUGAUCGUGCUCAACAUUGGAAAAGAGAGAGGGGUAUGUUGUUUUUGAUCAAGUUCUGGUCUUUUCUGAGUCGUUCUCCAUGCUACAGGUGUUGAACGAAGAAACAUUUGCAAUCAUGGUGAUCAUGGCGUUAUUCACGACUUUUAUCACGACUCCAAUAGUGAUGGCGUUGUACAAACCCGCGAGGACUCCCAUCCCAUACACGUUGCGAAAGCUGGAGAUGUGCACAGUGAAUGACGAGCUCCGGGUGGUGGCAUGCGUCCAUGGGAUAAAAAACGUGCCCGGUAUCAUCAGCCUGGUGGAUCAAGCAAGGGGAAGAAGCAGGCACUCGAUGCGGCUCUACAUACUCCACCUCGUGGAGCUGUCGGAGAGGUCAUCGGCUAUUGUGAUGGUACACACGGCAAGGAGGAAUGGCCGUCUCACCAAGAGCGCACGGGGCGAGAACCACAUCUACGUUGCUUUCGAGGCCUUCGGUCAUCUCAGCGAAGUUAAGGUCCGGCCGAUGACGGUCGUCUCCAAUUUCUCCGACAUGCACGACGAUAUCUGUGCAACGGCAGCUGACAAGCGGGCAGCCGUGCUGAUCCUGCCUUUCCACAAGAUCCGCAGGGCCGACGGGGUUCUAGAGACACUAAACACAGGAUUCCAGUUUGUCAACGACCAAGUCUUGCAGCACGCGCCAUGCUCGGUCGGGAUCUUCAUAGACAGGGGGCUCUCGGACGUGUACCACGCACCCGUGCAGCUGGUUCCCAAAAGCGUCUCCCACAGCGUGGCGGUGUUUUUCUUUGGGGGCCCGGACGAUCGCGAGGCCUUGGCGAUGGGAUGUAGAAUGGCCGAGCAUCCGGGAGUGAAAGUCAAGGUGAUACAUUUCCUCUCCUGCUCCGACGGAGAACUCGUCACUCACAGGAAGUCGAUCGUCAUCUCGACUCGAAAGACGAGCAGGAAGUCCAUCUUCCAGAGGGAAGGCGAGCAGCACCACUACCACGUCGAUCUGGAGGGAGUCGACUUUGAGAAAGAGAAGCAAAUCGACAUCGACACCAUCGCUGCGCUCCGGGAGGAGGACAAGCAAGGGAUCCUGUACGAGCAAGUGCCAGUGGGGGACCCGAUCGACGCAGUGAUGGACACCGUGAGGAACUGCGAAUACAAUCUCGUCAUCGUUGGCCGGGCUCGGGUACCAUGCAGAUUGAUCGCGAGCUUGAACAACUUGGCGCUCGAGUACGAGGAGCUGGGGCCGAUUGGGAGUGUCUUGGCCUCGUCGGAUCCAAGUAUCAAGGCCUCGGUCCUGGUGAUGCAGCAGUACACGAAUAAGAACGAGCCCGUCAACCCCGUGCAUCCAACUCCCAUCACGUCCCCAGAGGUGCCAUGACAGUUACUAGAUCAAUCAAUCUCUCCGACUCGGGCUCUCUCGGAGAGCUAUGAUCGAUCCACUGAGAGUUUGCUCUAUUCAUGUUAUAAGAGCUGGUUACACCACGAGCUCAAAAGGUGGAGCCACAUCCUCCAUGUAUAGCUAAAUCCCGAGAAAAAAUUAUGCUUCUUGUCUACGAGCUUGCUUGUCGAAUAGCUUCUUUGAGCUUCACACCCAGAGCCUUGGCCAAGGGAGGCGGCACAGCGUUACCGAUUUGGCGGUGCUUGUUUUGCAUGGUGCCAAAGAACUUGUAGCUGUCUGGGAAUCCCUGCGAAAGUGAACACAACAAGCCGUGAUCAGAGAGUGUCACACACUUCUUUGAAGAGGUUUGAGUACCUGUGACCGAGCGCACUCACGCACAGUGACUAUGCGAUCUUGCUCCGGGUGGAAACACAUGCCGACCUUUCCCAUGGGCUGAGGGUCCGUGAUCGAAGUUGGAAAGUUCCCGUCCCAGUCCAGUCUGCCAAACAGUCCCUUCCAUUGGUUGUGUCGCUCAGCGGUGUUUGGAAGGCACCACGGGAUUAAGUCCACUGUCUGGCCAGUGGAUAGCUUGACCUGUUGGAUCACCGCCAAAAGUUAGUAGAGACAAACAAACAAACAAACGCAGACGGGCUCCACCUUCUCAUCUGGAAGAUCGCGCCAGUCUGCUCCAGGGCGCUUUGGAAUUCGCUGACAGCGAAUAAAGUUCAGCUCGUUCAUCUCUUUGCAAAUGUGAUCUCGGAGAACAGUUGCGCCGCCUCUAAUGUUCUUCUGGAACCACGACUGUGGUUCAUUGCCAUACUGCCAGCCACCUCAACAGUUAGUACCAGAGGAAGAGACAAAAAAUACCAGUCACUUACAGGAGUUUCAGGUUUUUCUGUCCCAUUCGCCACGGGAGGAAGGUCUCCUAUCGUAUCUCGGACGGUAAUAGACCGCAAUGGAGCACCGCCGCGGGUAUCGUCAGCAGCUGCAUAGACCGAGUUACCAGACAGCGGUAUUUUCAGUUGCGCGCUCGCGAACACAUGUACAGGUUCUGGCCAAUCUGGUAGCACUUCAUCUGGUGCUGCAGCCCAAAUGAUCGCACGCGUUCUAGACUGAGAGAUACCAUAGUGUCCAGCUUGAAGAAUACCAAAACGAACCUGGAGAUAAUCGAUUGAGGCACGACAAAAGAUGAGAACAGUGAAAGCUUACCUGGUAUCCCAUUUCUAACAACGAAGCUAAAGUGAGACGAAAAGUCUGUCCUUUGUUGAAGGACACAAAAUUGCGAACGUUCUCCAAAAGGAAGUAACGCGGUCGGAAAUAAUCGGCAUACGAGAGAAACCCCAGGACCAUCUCACAUUGGAUUUUGCUCCAGUUUCUCUUGUUAAACCUGUUCAUACCAGAAAAUCCCUGAGAGCAAAAGAAACACAACGUCAACACUUGGCAAACACAAUCAUAUAAGUUAUACCUGGCAGGGAGGACCACCGCUAAUAAAAUCAACCUCACCCGGCCUGGGUAAACUACUUUUCUGGUUCUCGCUGAGCUUAGAUGCCAUUUCAGCAGCCUCCGGCGUUGAACAGCAAUCAUCAAGGUCUCCACCUAUUUCCAUAAUAGAUCUGCCAUAACAAAGAAAUUAUUUCAGCACCAGUUUCAUGUUUCGGUAAAACAGCUUACCUUAGCACGACGUUGCAGUUGUCAAAAAACACAGUGGCGGUAGGAUGAUUCAUUUUAAAUGCUUCUGCAGCUGCGUGGUCAUAUUCUAUUGCCCACUUUGUUGACGCGAUGCCUGUACCAGAGGAUAUCAGGAGAGAACCACACGAACGAAAAUACCUGAUUGGUGAAUUCCCUCAGACAGACCGCCACAGCCUGCAAAAAUGUCAAGCAUCGAUAGCUUUUCGUCGUUUGCAGAAGUUUCUUUGGGUUGUCGAUCAUCUUCAACCAGUUUACCCUUUCCUUUUGCUGAUGCCAAACUCGACGCCACUGGUGGUUUUCCGAGUUUAACAUUAGCUGGUAACUGGAAAGAAAAAAAUGUCAAAACAUGAAACGACAUUUCGAGGAACGAACCUGUUUUACAGUUCCUUUCAGUGGGUCAUAGACGCAGCUACAGAAAAACAGGUCCAUUAGCGCUUUGGUUUCUGAAGCUACAGUAAACUCCUGCCGCUUCACAACGGUACAUUUUCCCCUCACAGCAGCAAGAGAUAUCGUGGUUGUCCGUUCACAGAAAUAGACCUGCAUGAAAGGAAGUACAAAAGCACAUAUUAAGAAGAAAAACAAAACGAAGUACCUCGUGAACAUCGGCUUUGUAAGCCUUUCCCAAGUCGACGUCUUCGGGCCUGUAGAACUUCCGAACUGUCAAUUGCUCCGCACCUGUUUUUGACGAUGGUAUGACAUCCAUGAGCUGGCAGAUCGUAAAAGCUCGAAGACCCUUGUUUCUACCACCUUUGAACUUCUGAAUUUCGUCUUGUGAUUGAGUCAUUAUUUGAGUUAUAUCGACGUAUACGAAGUCGUUGAUGUGGUAUUCCACGCCCUGGAACCGGAAGCCUUGAAGAUUCGCAAACAGUGACAAGCUAUCCUUUGUCUUUGCCUCUUCCCUUGAUUUACAGCCUUCACACACUCCGGUUCCCAAAGCCAGCUUAUCAUGCGGAAUGCGAAAGAAGCCGCCCUUCUCAGGAACAUAGAGAGCUUGAAAAAAGUACUCUGUCGGAAGACCUUUAAUUUCCCUGUCGCGAGCUCGUUCCCGUUCUUCCUCGUCGGCCGUAGCAUUAUCCUUCCUGUGCAUGUGACCCCACGGACGUCGUCUAAGUUCCACCUUCACGAUCUCUUUCGCAUCCCUGACCUCUACGUUGUCACAACUACCGGUGAGAAACAAUUCCCGCUUGGAAGCUGCGUCGCCUAAAACUGUGCUUUCUCCUUUCACCAGUACCCUGCCGUGAACCAUGCUACGCCCAUUGGCCUUGUACAGGUACUCCACGAGCAAAAAUGCGUCCUCAGCACCUUCGACUUCGUAACCAACGGCUUCGCCAGGCUUAAUCAGAUGACCACGAAUAGCCUUUGCAUCAGCCUUCUGAUCUUGCUGGCGCCUAACAUUUUCAGCUUCAGGUUCGCAGGUACCAUCUUCAUUGUAUGUGGAACAAUAAUCGCUCCAGAUGCGAUUAACAAGCUGCGUCGUCGUUGCACGCAUGGGCUUUGUUUUGGAAGCAUCUGGCUGUAGGCUUCCCCUGGGAUUAAGAUUUCUGCCCCGAAGAAGCUUUUUCUUGGAGACCUUGAGCUUGGUAUGGUGCCUUUCCUCCAUCAUUUUCAAAAGCCCAGUCACAAAAGAACUCUUCCUGAUGGUGUCGUCUGCGAACUUAAAAUGUUAGAAAUCUGAAAGAACAGGAAGUUAACACGUAAAAACUGACCAGGGAAUUCUGAAAACUGUUGCAGGAGGAUCUGUCCGUGCACCACAACAAACCUCUCCACAUCUGCUACUUUCGAGCCAACAAAAGUGUCACUAUCUUGAGUUUGGUCAGUAAGCCGCUUGACGACGUCUGGAAAAGAAAGACGAGAAACGCGACUUACAACCUUCAGCAUUGUAAUGAUGUGCCUAGCCAGUCUCGCCGUCUUCAAAACUGGACUAUACCAUGCUGCAUACUGAGCAGAUGGAGGUCCCAGCCUGUACCAAGCACCAGCCGUCCUGAUAGAGAUACUCAAUAUCUUGGCACCGAACUCUAUCUUCCAUUCCUUAAUUGAACUCAAAUAAACUCGCAGAAGGUUCUCGUUAUGCGUGGUAGAAGCCGCAUCAUCUACGAACAAAAAAACACAAUAAAAUCAAUCCUUUCGGCUGGUAGAGCUUAGCUGUUACUUACCGGGCUCAUUGUCCAUACAAUACUCAAAGUUGUCCUCCGUUACAAGGCCCGAGCCGAAGACUUCGACGUCCGUCUCUGCACCGCUAACCAUGGGAAGAAGUUCCAAGGACACAAACCGCAUGUCCGAGUUGUACAGGGCCCAGUCAUAGAGCAUGCGGUGCUCCAGCUCCCCAUCAUCACCGCUCAUGACAAGGUACUCGUCCGUCUCCUCCUCUUCAGGCUUGUAGAACUCCGGAAGUGGAUAAUCCACCGCAAGCUCGUCCUCGUUGAUCUUGAUGUAACUCUUCGCCUUAGCUCCGCCGCUCCUCAUUCUCAUGGCUCGCUCCUCCCGUUCCUGGAGAAGCUGCGCAUACUGCGCAUCGCCAGCAUACUGAUCCGUCAAGCCGCUUGAGUGCUCGGACGACGGAUUGGAACCAUCGGGCUCGUUGAUCGUCAAAGUUCCAUUCUUCCUCCCAUGACUCGCCAAACUAACGUCCUCCAUGCGACAAGAAGCCGACUCCUUCUCUAGUGCCACCAGCGCUGGCAAGCCCGUAAAAACCUGGUCGCCAUCCGAAGCACUUACGUCCAUUGCCUUAAGCUGGCUGGACACAAAGCCUCCGAUCGAGAUGAGAUACUCCCGACUAAAAGGCUGCGACAAAGCCGUCUUCUUGGACCGUCGCGCUACCUGUGCCACAAGGCUCUCGAGUGGAAGCUCUGGAUCACCACCAUCCGGCUUGGAAAGAGCCUUAAAGACCGCUAUACACAGGGACGACUUGUCCGCAAGAGCGCUGUACCAAGUCUUGUAGCUGGCGGCCGGCUUGCAGCAAAUGUAGUCGCCAGCCUCGGUGCAAAUCCACACGACGAGCACACCAUCCUCGUAUCCGGAGAUGCACCAAGACUCCAAAGGCCCGAAGCUUUCGCAUCGAAACCCCCGCUGCUUCUCCAAGAGCCCCGUCACUGGAAGAAUGGUCGCCGUCACGAAGAGCGGCACCGUCUCGAGGAUCUCGAUCGGCUGCUCCGCGCCCUGCCCGUCGUGGACCACGAAAUCCAGGAGUCUCCUCUGCGGCUUUUCUUUCUUGCCCUCGCCCCCUUCUCGCGUCCUCAUGAUCGCCGUCGCCUCGGAAUCCGCCAGACGGGGCUCCGGCUUAACCUCGAUCACAUUUUCUGCCUCGAUCGCUUCCUCUUCGUCUUCUUUCUCUUCCAGGUUCUUGAUGGCCGCCCGGCGGGGCCGGGGCCGCUUGCAGCCGCUACCAGUGUUGUGAAAUGCGGUGACGGAGAUGAUCUCGACAUCGCUGGAGUCGCUGUGGUGAGAAGCAUCAGACCUGGGCGGAUUGCGGGCGGCGGGGGCCGCAGCAUUGUUCUUCAAGCGCUUCUUCCUCCCGCGAUGAACCGCCAUGGCCGGACUCCUGUUUCUAUGUAGAACAACCUAGCCUAAAAAGGCCUUAAACCCUACAAAGAGCAUGGCGCGCCCGAUAUUCCCGCUUCAGGUUUUGAAUGGGGAUUCUCAAUUAAAGUCGUUAAGAAUAAUUAUUGUAUAACUGUUACCAUUCAGGCUAAGGUGAUGCUAAUGACAAUGGUGUCCAGUUUGGUCGAGCCCUAACCGAGUGCUGAGGUGGCAAGUGGGAGUUCGAGAGGGAGGAUGGGAGGAGAGAAGUAAUGGGCAUUGCAUGUGAGCAUGAAGGGUGUUCUAUAGUGUGUUUUAGUGGUUUGGAGGUUGAUCUCUCUUGAUUUCUCUGAUUUCUUUGCUUGUGUCCAUGAAUGGAGGGUUGGUCCCUAUUUUGGUGGAGGUGAGGGUAGCCACAUUGCUGAGUGCUUUCACGAGCAGUGUGUGGCUAUCCAUUCUUGGACCAUAUGUGGAAAAUUGACAAUUGCUAAAUUGAGCAUCAUAAGUGAUUGUUAAUUUGAGCAAUGUAAAUAAAGCUUGCUUUGUGUGGAGACUUUCAGUGAGAUGCUAAAGGCGUUGCUAGAAAGUAAUGCAGAAAAUCGAGGCAAAAAGCCUGAUUUUUGAGGCAUAGCAAAUGAGCCAAACAAAAGAGCUGUUUGAAUAUCCCAUGCAUGUGAAAGGAAGCUUAUUGUGGCUAGUAUGGCUAAUGUUGAGCAUGCUAGCAUUUCUUUUUUGGGGGAAUGGAACGUACUGAGGCAAAUGCUACUCAGAUGUAAAGAAUGAAUGAGAGAAAAUCCCAAAGGUUGUAUUCAUUGAGUAAAUUGUCAAAAGGCCAGGGUUAAUGGCUUUGAAAUCAGCAAGCUAUGGUGGUUUAAAAUUUUUUCAAGUUUAUGUAGAAGAUUGCAGAGAGUUGCUUUUGAUUCUAGUGGUUGGUUACCUUAGCAAGAUAAGAAUAAGUGUGAGUGAUAUAUUGUAAGUGGAUGUUGGCUUGGCUUAGAGCAUGGAGGUUGAGGUUUGAUCUGUAGAUAUGAUACAAAUGUAAAAAUGUAAGAAGAGAAAAUGGGUUUGUACAUCUUAAUUUAGGAGGAAAGCAUGCAUAAUAUUUGUUAAAUUUGGUAUUUUGUUUUGUGUGAGGACACACAAAUUUUAACGGGGGAAAGAUCGCUACAUAUGUAACGGGCUAAGGUGACACUGGUGUCCAAUUUAGUCAAGCCCUAACCAAGUGCUAAGGUGGCAAGUGGGUGAGCCAGGGUUCUUGGUUUGAGAGGGAGGAUGGGAGGAGAGAAGCGAUUGGCCUUGGAUGUGAGCACAUGACGUGUUUUGUAGUGUAUUCUGGUGGUUUAGAGGUUGAUUUCUCUUGAUUUCUCUGGUUUUUUUUUUUGUGUCCAUGAAUGGAGAGCCGGUCCCUGUUUGAUGUGUUAAAUAUGUUAGGAUUUAGGGUUUAAAAAGAUUCUAAAAAUAUUUCUACUAAGGUUUUAUGGUUAAUCUUAUACUAUUAUUAGCAAUUACCCAGCAAAUGCUGGGUGGCUGGCAAAUUUCAUGCCAUUUUAAAAGAUUUGCUGAGCUUAGCUAUAUUUGCUGUUUGAUCAACUUAGUGUCUAAGGAUAACUCUCAAAAUCUAGAAGAAAGAACUUUACAAAAAAAAGUCUUGAAGCUAAACUAACCUAUCAUAGUUAGUAAUUGAUUCAGUAAUUAGAAGCUUUGCGGCUGGAAAGGCAGAGAAGGAGAGAGAUUCCAUGCAUCACCAGAAGCUUGAAAUGAUUCGAGCCUCUUGAUUCUAUACAUCUGGAUGUGCAAAUGAUUGAUCGUGGCAGUGGAAGCUAUGGUAGUAGAAAUCGAGUUAGCCUAGGAAAAGAAUUGUUGAGAAAAAAAGGGAUCACUCACUUGUAGCGACAUUGCAAAGGUGGAUGUGAUGAGUGGUAAUUUCCCCGAACCCUACUGUGCACAUGCCUUGACGUGAUAAAAUUUAAGGAGCUGGAGAGCCAACAUGGAUUCACAAACUUGCUCAUCCAUCUUGCAGAAAUGCGGUGGUAGAGAAAAGCUAUGGGGUGAAAACGUUUCAUCGUAAAUGUGCGUGCAUAGUGACUUUACUUCUGUGACUGGUUUUAACACAUGUCCUCAGACUCUGAUCUGGCAUUGUAAUUAACGAAAAGUUCAACAAAUUUGCAAAAGAAAUAAUACCUUUGAGUCAUCUGCUCCUGACCCAGCACCAUUUUAUUAGUGCACAUGUCAAAUAGUUUUAGUUACAGAAAAAAAUAGAAAGAAUUUCUUACCAAACAUCUGUGAGCAUAGCUUCUCCACCUGAAGGAAAGUAACUCGGCCUCAUCUCCAAGCAAACACAGGUGAGUUCCCUAGUGACUAUGACUGGGACACACUUCUCUUCACCACCUCGUAGACAGCAAAUCUGCAAAUCCGCACCAAGGCUCACUCGUUGUUAUCUCAGCUUUCUCUCCACACAUUUCGAAUUUGCAGCAUGUAUUAUUUUAUUUUAUUUUUGUCCAUGAUAUCUUACUUGUCAGGGAGAACUUCGGUUUACAAAGGCAUUCCUCUACAAUGUUCUCUUGCAAUGGUUGCAGGGUGCUCAUCUUGCUCAUGAAAUUUUUGAAGUUAAAAGCGACAUUAAUAAAACUGAUCAGCAUUUGAAUCACUCGGCCUCGGGGCAGCAAUUGCCCGAAUUCCUAGUUCCCAGCUCCAUCUCGACCGUUUUGGACACAACUUCGAUUCCAAGAACCCUAAAAAUAGCAAAAUAAAUGUGAAAACUGAGAGUGCAGUCACAACAAAAAUAAUGGUUACCCUAUCAGCACUCCUUUGCACUUUGUCGUUUCUUCGCAAAUAUUGAACAACCAUGCCUGAGGAUAAGAGCAGCAUUUGAGAUAUAGAUUGAUCCACGGCCCCCCUAAUCACAGCUCUAAAACUCCAAAACCGAAGUCUCUUUACUUUCCAAUGUAGAAAAAAAAAGAAGGAAAUUAAUACAGAUAGACCACUCAAAGUUCCACUGCCCCGAUUUAUCUCAAUAAAGAUUACAACUCAUAUGAUGAGGAAAAACCGUAUAUGAUGACAAAAAAUACGAAGGCUGAGAUCAGAAUCAGAAUCUCCAUAGCUUCUCUCCGCAAAUCCAUGCCAAUUCUUUCACUAUGUCAAGAAUAGGGAAAUCUUACAUUAGGAAUCGAUUCAUCUGCCUAGCUCAAUCCAUCAGUGCUGACGUGUGCAAUUGAACUGAAAUUCAGAGAGAGCCCAGGCCACAAAAGCUGGAUUCUAUCCUGGCACACUCCCUCACCAGCCCUGCCUGUGGUGCUGCUCACGCACCACAAGCAGAGCAGCCAUGGAACCCUAGUAGUGCAUCACGCCCUCUUCCCUCCCCGGCCACAUAUGCUUGCCACCCAUUGACCGCCACAACAUUGAGCCAAUAUUCUCACAAACCAUGGCCCUUGACUAGGCUGGGGCUUACUGGGAACCCUGGGCUUGGAAUUGGACGGCUGCAGGGGUUUAGGCCCUUUGUUCUUAUAUAUAUAGAUAAAGUUGUAAUAUAGUGCAAUGUAUAUGCAUUUUUUAAUUCAAUUUCAAGGGAUGUUAACUGUUGGUUACAAGAAUAUAAAAUGCAACAUGGCAAGGUAAUAUUUUUCUUGUGAAUUCAAGUUUCCUCAUUCAACAAGGUUUAUUUAUCAUUUCAUGAUUAUAAAAAUUUAAUUAGGAUCCUAGAUCAUAUCACUAAUUAAAUUAUAUGUUUAGUAUUAUUUUAUUUUCAGUAACUUCCAAACAGCAAAAGCUUAUCAAUGCUAAUAUAUAGGUUUUAACAGGGAAGGUAUAUAGCUAAGCUAUAAUGGCUAUCUUAGUCAGAAUGUUUAUAGUUUUAAUACUUAAAUUUUUCUAUUUGAAAGAGACUAUUGCACCACCAAAUGUGAGAUUUGGAACGGCCAAAAUAUUAAAUACUCAAGAUAUGGUAAAAGUUAUUGGCUUAAUUACAGAUUUAAUAAAUAAAAUUCACUACAAAACAGAUUAUGCUCGUAAUUAUGGAGAUGGAGGAUCUGUUACUGUUUCAUGUGGAAUUGUAAAUAUAGAAAUUAAAUCAAAAUACCAAUGCUCUAUAAGUGAGACAGUGGUAAAAACAAAGGGAAGAAACUUAAUAGCUGGUUUUGAAAGACUUUUAUAUCCAUAUAUAAGUAUGCUUAAUCAAAAGCUUUAUGAUUAUUUUGUAAAUGAAAAUGAUGGUUUUUUCAUACAAUAUAAGCUAGAAAAGCGGGAAGAACUUCUUCAAAAAGAUAAAUUGUUUGAUAGUUUUUAUUUAUGCAUUCUUGAAUCUAAUACACUUAUUAGCCCUAUGAUUUUUUAUAGUGGUAACUUUUUAGUCUCUCCUAAUAAAAAAGCUAUUUUAAUUUUAAAAACAGAUUGCAAUCUUGUUCUUUAUUUCCAGAAAACUCAAAUUUGGGAGUCACAUACAUCACAAAACAUUAGUGUUUAUUGUGUAUUAAAAUUUCAAACUAAUGGUGAUUGCAUUUUAUACAAUAAUUACAAAAUAAUUUGGAGAACUAAUACUCAAUUUACAAGUUCCUUAAAACUUUUUUAUUUUACUGUUCAGAAUGAUUGUAAUUUGGUAAUUUCUACUGUAGAAUUUCCAAAUAAAAUAUGGUGGGCAUUAAGUUCUCAUUCUUUAUGUUAGAACAUCAGUUAUAAAAUAGAUAAUAACUCCCCUAAUAGAUAAAUUAGAGCAUAAGUUUAUAAUUAUAUUUCUGUAAUACUCAAACAAGUUUAUCCUAAGUAUUACUAGAACCCAUUUCAAUUAUUAGUAUUAAACCCCAAAAAUAUGUAAUUCAUUUGCCUUAAUUAACUCUGUGUCCUUGAUUUCAUCACUUAUUUCAGAGAAGCUUUCAUAGUGGAUUUUUUCCUAAACGACGUUGCUUUUUGAGCUCCAAACAAAAAAGUAUAUGUCAACGUGAAUAACCAAGUUUUUUUCUAACUAAUAUACAAAAUACUUGUUUAAUGAUUAAAAACAUGGGCUUUAAAAACCAAAAGGAACAUUGCCAAAGCCCCAGAGAACGAGAAGAAAAAAACAAACAGCACGAAAGUACACAGCCAGCGUCCAAAAGAAAACAGCAACCUGUUCAGAGAAAAAAGAAGACAAACCAAAAAGGAUGAAAAGUAACGAGCACCACGAGACGAAAGCGAUGAAAACCUGUGCUCCUCACUCUUCUUCCACCACCGUCAUGUAACCUGGAUGUGCGCUGCCGUGUGAGAGUUUGCAGGAGGCCGCCAGUGUUAACACCGAAGGAGCCCGGCUCCCAAGGUGCAAAAAAAGGAUGGAACCAAACAGGCUCGUCAAAAACUGAGCCUGCAAAAACUGGACGGUGCCCUGAAAAAAUCCACCAGCAGCUCCCCCAAGCUAGAUAACAUAUCCAUCUUCGUCGCUCGCGAGUGUGUGGAAAAACGGCCUCUCCGCAUAGGCCCUCCAAACUUUGAUGAAGAGAAAAAAAGGAAACCUGCGCUGCGUAGUGAUUCACCCAACCUGUGCCUGUUUGCCUGCCCGUCCUCGUCGCU